rnacentral:lncRNA from 1 species
UUGAUUACUAUGACUAGUACUACGGCGCCAUCAACAUUUGGCUGGGAGUCUGCUGUGCUCAUGUCUUCUGCUUUCAUCCAAAAUGAUCACCAGAGCGUUAAUGAUCAAACGGAGUAGCAGCUAGCCACCUGUUUGAUUGAUCAGUCGCACUGUGCAUGUUGAACAAGCAAUGCGGUUGCUUAAUUAGUUAAUUUAUAUGUAGAAAUUAGUCCUAGCUAGGGUUUGAAAUAUCAUAUGAAAUGUGAUUUUGUGUGUGCUAUCUCUAUUCUUAAUUAUUCGACUACCCCAACAUCGCUCUACGAAUGGGGGCGUAUAUCAAUGUAUUGUCGAUCACGUUUGUAAUAUCAUCUAUCUAUCUAUAUAUGUUACCGGUAUUGUAAAACAAACAUAAAUUUGAUCAAUGUUAAUUAAUUUGUAUUUAGAAGUAUAUAGAGUAAUUUAUGCGUGAAUCAAUUUCAUGUUUAAUACAUCUACCACAUUUAUCACUUUGCAUACAUAUAUAGGGUUUGUAAGGAUGACAAAUGCACAAAAAAGACCCGUGGUUAUAAUUUAAACACUUUGCAUGCAUACAUCCAUACAGUGUAAGAUGCUUAAUUAAAGUUAAUCUUCAUGGAAGGAAAUUAUAUAUCUGUUCAUUCUUUCUAAAGUGUGAUAUUCACCGCAUGCACAAGUUCAUGGAGGGGGAUCGACAUGUUAAUUCAAUGAAGAAGAAGGUGCAAAAUAUCCCGAAAGUUCUUAAAACAUUGAAGCUUUCACUUUACAUUCAUGAUCAAUAUUGGGACUUAAUCUAUUCUUUGAUGUUUAUAUCUCAUAUAUAUACUAACUAGAAACUAAUGAUAUAUGACAAUCAGAUAUACAUAUAUAGAUGACAUGAACAUAUAAAAAUCUUCUUUUCUUAAAUCCCAAAUAAAUCUUGUACUAAUGUUUUUUGGUAUAUCUGCUUUCAUUUUGUGCACAAGCGUGGUAAAUAUUUGACAUCUUUCUGAAAUCUUAUUACAUGUAGCAUAUGAUACAUCUGGGAGAUAAAAGACUAGUUCUACAACCAUAUUUUAAACAAAUUGAUCGUUGAGGGUAAGUAUGAAAAAUGAGUAAAUAAAGCUAGAUAUGAUUCCAAAAUACGUUACAGGGCAAAGAUCUUGCGUGCAUAAAAGGUUAUAAUCAUUGUAGAAAUUAAGAUGUCACAUUCACAAUCUACAUCAUCAAAAACAUUUGAGGCGAUAACAAAAACACGAAACAUAGUAGUGUUUAUCAUUUCCCUAUACACGACUAGCUCCAAAAACUUAAACGGAUAGGGUAGGGAAUAUUGCAACAAUGUAUCAAGGUUAUAGACACAACUACUGAUGUAAAAUGAACAAGAGAAAGAGAAAGAUUAAAAAGUUCUUAUAUAUGAAAGAUCAAUGCAUGGUAUUAGUUAGAAAUAUGUUUUGGUGCAAACUUAAGUAGUGAGCACGUAUUCUUGCUUUCUGUUAGUAGAAGGUGAAUAACCGUUUAAUUUGAACAUAAGUACUCAAACCUAUUCAUACAUAUACACCUUAGAAGACAUUAAUUUGAUUAAAGGCUUGAAGUUCUAACCGUAUUUAUAACUUUAAACUCAAGCUAGUUAUACUACGAAAAAUCUGGGGUUAAUUAAGCCACUGUUACUGAUUCCUAAAACCACUGAUAGCUGUGGCCGUAGGCCAAUUACCACAGGCCAGGCCACAUACCAAUAUGAAAAGGAACUUAGCAUAUAUAACCUUGUGAUCAACUACUUUAUGAAUAAUUCGUCAGUUUUCUAUUCUGGUAUGCAUUUUUGUAGCCAUUUGUCUAUUUGAAACAGUGUGCAUGUAUUUUUGGGCAUUAGUGUAACAUCGUAAUCUAUCCCGUAUUCAUCUACGUGUUUGAGUGAAGUAGGUAUCGUGAAGGUAACAGAGAGAACUAAAGAUGGAAGCUAUAGGAAACAAAAAUGGCAUUCAGAAAACACAGGUUGACGAUUCUCAAAGCCUAUAACAUAGGGAGUUAAAUAUAAAGUGACAAUUAAAUUGCCAUGAGUUUGAGGGGUCGAGGGUAUAUUGAUAGGCAAAGAUGGUAUUUGUUAAAGCAACACUCAUAUAUAUUUGAGAAUUAUUCUGUGGUACUGAAAUAUCUCUAUCGUAGUAAAAAUGCUAAAUGGUAAAUGGUUUGCAGCAUGAACAUUUCGAGAACAGUGUAUUUUUGGGGUGUUCUAGAACAUUUGGUAUGCAGAUUGUGUUUAGAUAGAAUUAGUACGCAGUAUGUUAAGUCCACACACGAUAUAUGUAGGUUCUCAGCAAACCCCAAUUAAUCGAGAAGCUAUAUAAUUAAGUCAUCGUGCAAUAUUAUGCAAUAUGCAUACAUGUCAAGGAUGAAAGUCACUUACUCGUAGCAGAACAUGAUAUAAUUCUUCAAUGUGUAGACUUGAUCAUCUGUGGAACAAGAUUUUGUUGAUUACUUUCAAUCAGCCUCCCUCCCAACAUUUCUGAUGCGAUCGUCGUGUGAGCUUCCUGCAGAAUCAUGCAUGGAGAAUAAAACGAAAUCAGUGGAGUAUACGCCCUAGAUGCAUAUAUGCAUGUUAAUCAUAUGCUGACCGCUGGAUAACAUCAACAUGGUCGUUCUAAUUAUUUAAGAUAAAAGAUGGCUCACACACCUGGCCAAUGGCUUAUUGCACCCUAUCUCCCUCUAUGACAUCUCGUAUAUUUUAUCAUAGCUAGGACAAUGCUAGGAGACCAAAAUUUUAAAUUAAAUGAUAUGUCACCAAUAAAAAAUAAACACAUUAAUCAACACAAAACCAUAAUUCAAUCAGCAACAUUCACGUCAUGUGGUUUACAAAAUUUGAUUUAGAAAUUGAGUAAUGAUAGGGAGACAAAUUUUGUAAUAAAUUUUUUUAGACCAAGUGACAUGGAAGUUGAUAAUUGGAUUAAUACUUAAGUGUUGAUAAAUAUUUUCAUUUCUUAUUGGUGAAACAUCAUUUAGUUUACAAAAUUUGUUUACAGAUUUAGCCUCCCUAGCAUUACUUUUAGAAUUUUGGUCUUCUUAACAUUACUUUUUUUCAUAAUAGAGCAAGGACACGACAUGUUUACCCCUCACCGCCUCAAGGCUUACGCCUCGUUUUCUGAGACCCUAUAUAACUUAACUUACAUCUUCGCUUCUAAAAGCAUAUAUUGUUUAUAGAUGUACAAUAAAUAUUACAACAAUUAAAAUCCUAACUUUUCUUUUUGUUGAUAAAAAGCCUAAAUAUUUUCACGAGCACCUCCUCUAAACAUGUGGUUCACAAACUUCAUGUCUUUUAAUAUGAGCUAUAAAAUUAGUUGGGUUGGGUUGUGUUUGGAUGAGGGACUUACAAAGUAUCAAGGCAUUAAGGCAAAUUAUAAAGAACAAAACUAUGAACCAUUACAUAAAUGCUAUGUUUGCACAAGGGAUUUUCAAGUUAUAAGAUUAAAAGCCAAAUUAUAAAGAAAAAGAUCACAAAAUGUUGGAUAGGAAGGAUUAGCUAAUCCAUUCGUGGAAUAUAUCAUUUACAAAUCUCUCUUACAUGUCUUUGUAAUGUUCUACGUACGGUACAUUUCGUAAUCCAUUAUAUCCAACAUUUUGUGAUCAUUCUCUUUACAAUUUGGCUUUCAAUCCCAUGACUUGGAAAUCCCUUACCCAAACUUUGCCAAAGGGUAUUACAAAUGCAACCCAUGAGAAUUACGCACACAUAUAUAUCUUCAUAAUAAUUAUGCAGUACUUUUUUAAUCCUGUCGUUUUAGUCUAUUUCUUCCUUAUUUAACCUAUAUUCCUUGGGACUAAAGUCCCUCACUCAAACACAGGGCAUUUGAUCCCUUUGUCGAGGCACAUGGAAGCAUUUUAUUUCUACUAUCCUAUAAUAAUUUUUGAAGAAUUCAGCCAGGUGGAGUUGGAGCUCCAGCAAACUGGAAGGGAAGGAAACAGAAGCCUACCUUGGUAUUGGGUAUGUGGCCUGAUUUUAACUGACAUUGAAUUCUAAAUGGGCCGUUUAGCCCUAACAAUAGUUGUUGUCUCCUAACUGUUGAGGACCAUUAUGGUGUGACCUUUUUUUUUUCUUUUCUUUUCUUUCUUUUUUUUUUUUUAAAAAAAAUUUCCACCCCACCCACACCAGGCCUCGAUCCUGGGACCUAAUCUAUCCCACCCCUUACCCACACCCUCACCCACACCACUAGGCUAUUCCUAGUGGCUUCCAUUGUGGUGCGACCUGAGUAUCCCAAAAUUGUUGCAUCUGACCCUCCCCUUAAAGUUCAAACUACCAGUCUUCUGCGAUUGGUAGAUGGUUGACCUGUUGCAUACCAAUUCAGUAGCUUCUACUGCAACUUGUUUGACUAUUUAAAACUUAUGUUCUCUCAAUUUCUAUUUCCUCAUGAUACACACACACACACACACACAUAUAUAUAUAUAUAUAUAUCUAACACUCCAUUGAUGUCCAUGUCCGUGAACAUUGAUACAAGCGUAUCAACUAACAAUCUAAGCUAAGCUAGCGAUUCGUGUUUGCUCUUUAGAUCCUAUAUCUGCAUAGUCAACUAUUGGGUGGGAAAACUUCCAACAAAAAACGCGGUUUUAUGAUGAUAUUCUUUUUCAUUGUUAUUUACAGACUUGCAAUUCAAGUGAUUAAACAAAUUUACUUUCACUACUCUAUAUUUGAGACCAUUUGUACGAGUCUUCCUUCUCAACAUGGGUUGUACAAGAAACAGUUUACAAAUAUUAGGGUCAUUUUAUUUUCUUAGCAAAUUGCAGUUCUUUAUCAUUAUUAACAUGCAUCAAGGUGUAAUCUUAGCAAAUUGCAGUUUACAAAUUAUUUUCUUGGGGUACUCUUCUAGGAGUAAAGGGUUAAAAAUUUUAUUCAAGUCAAUUCCAAUUCAUGAAGAACAUAAAAAAGGAGUAUCAUCUUGUUUUUGUAUUAAAAUUCGUGGGGUCAAGGGCGAGAGAUUUUUCAGUGUGCUGGGCACACGAUCGUUAUACCAGGUAUAAUAAUACAAUUACUUUAAAAUUUAAAAUUUUAUUUUUAAUCAAUUGUAUAAUGAUAGUAGGUGUACAUGUUUGUAUUCCUAGCACUUGAAAUUUUUUUAUCAAAGGCAACAAGCUUUGAGAAUUUGUCUUAUGGUGGGUCAUAAUUUCAAAUGGGUCUUAAAUGGGCACAAUUAAUGGUGCAAUUUUUUCAAGCUAUAAUAACAUUUUCUUUUUUCACAGGAUAAAUGGUUGAAAACAACCCAAAAAUUAUAUAAAAAAAAAGUGAAAAAAUAGCUCAAUGCGUACUUUUAUCAUAUGUGUGGUCGUGAUAUUGAUUUUUUUAGUAUGGAAAAAUGAUUCCAAAAAGGUGAUAAAAAUGUAAUUCAUAUGGUAAAAUGAGAUUAAAUAUUUAGUUUCCAUUCAAAUAUUUGGUACUAGAAUGAUGACAUGAAUUUCUUCUAAUUGAUAGGAUUAACCAACCCUAUAUAUGUAUCCUUUUCGAACUAUAUUUCUUAUCUAACAUCGCAUGGUGUGGCUUUUUCUCUUCCUAAAUGCUAAUGCAAAUAAGUCUUCGAAAUUUAAGAAAAACAAGGUAAAUCCCACAAGAACUCUUAACCUCAAAUCUUAAACUUCUUCAACCACCAAAGCAAACAAGAAGGAACAUAGACGAUGGAAUGCGUCGCAAGAGUUUUCUCGUAGCUAAAAAAAACAUAUAAACAUGAAAAAACAGAUAAAGGAGAGAAAACACAGUAGGAAUUUGCUACAAAUUUUGAGCCUCAUUUAACUUAAUGAUGAUAUUAACGUUGUUGGGCAGGCAAGCUAACUGAUAUAAUAAGCAAAAGCAUACCAUGUCCAUGCAUAAUCCAUCCAGCUUCUCAAAAAAGCACUUAACAUUCACAAACUUGAAGAAAACAAGUAUCAUCACAAGAUGAAAGCAAAACACCAUUUAAACAGAAAACAAGAAGCAAAAGUUUUUCAUGACUUACCGAAACAUAUUUGUCCUCGGAAACUGUACACGGUCUCCGUGGUUCGAGACCUCUUCGCCGAAUGCAUUGCUGCUCUACGAGGCUGACGCAAUGAUCAAAUGGGGUCAUGGAAAUCUCAGUAACUUAAAAUAAAGGUUGAAACUGGAAAAAGUUGUAAGAAAGAAACUUCGUGUUGUAGAAAGCUCUCUUACAAUCAUUUUUCUUUAAGCACCCAGUUUUUGCAGUUUUUGAGAGGGAAGUACACGCGUCUUUCAGGUGUUGCAGGCCAAAACUUGCAGCUCACUAGAGGCUAGAGCCAUUGCAAUGGGGGCUUAUAGUUGGAAUUGUAUGUCUGGGAUUUGACCGGUAGAUUUUGUCUUGUUUACAAGAGGAUUACCGGCUAGUAUUUCUGAGCAAAAUGUAAAACCCAACCAAACGUUCUAACCCAAAAGAAAAAGGUCAAGAGUGUUUUGUUAGACGGACCAAACUUUCUAGUCUAAACUUUUGCUGCCAAAUUCUUACUUUUCCUUCUUCCAUCCGCCUAUCAGCUCAGAGUCUGUAUCGGCAUUUUUUUUUGAGAUCCCACAUUUUAACAUGUGCUUGCAGUAUUUUUGUGUACUACGUUGCAGGGAUAAACCUAUCUCUGCAGUUCUCAGCAGUCCGCACUAAACUGCUCGAUUUGAGGAUUUCGGUGCCGUAGAAUUUAGUGCAAUGAACUCUACACACUUGUCAAACACUUGCCUCAACAUUUAAUUCUAGAUUCCAUAUGUGUACCUAACUUUCAAAUAUGUGCAUGUGUUAACCUAACUAGGUUUUCGGCUAAUGUAGCGAUUGUUAGCUUGAUAUACAUUAUUGAUUUAUUCUCUAACAAGGUAUUAUCCUUCGAAGGGUUAUACUUAUUUCCAUUGUGUAUGUUCAUCGUUUCGAUCUCCAAAGGCAUAAUGGGGUUGGAUGUGAGGGAGACUGUUAGUUUCAUAUACAUUACUAUCUCAUUUCUUGACAAUUUAAAUUUUUUGGGCCUAAUGGUUAUUUAAUAAUAGUUAGGCCGAAAAAUCAGAAACAAUAAUGUCGCGGCUUAUGAAUGACAACUAAAUAUGUUUAAUGUGGAAUGAUUUAAAAGUUAAAAAAAAUGCUGAUUAUAAAAUGAGAAAGUAAAUUAACUUUUGUACAAAUUAGAGUACUAUGGAACCAAUUGCUGGAAUACUUACAGUUUAAAGAGCAAUGCUCCAAAAUUGCCUUGCCCAUAGAAAACUGCAUGUUGUAUGCUUAGAAUCCGGAUCCUCUUUAUGAGGAUCCCGAGAAUUCGUGAAUCGUAUCCGUUCAUCGCAAAUCAUGCGAUCAGAAAUUAUUUUAAAUAUUUUUAUUUAAAAUUAAAUACAAACAGUACUUGAUACAAACUGACCACACGAUAUCAGGAUUCUCACCAAAAGGAUCCGGAAAGGAUCCUGUUGGGUAUGUUUAUGCAUGUACUUACAUGUUAGCACCAAUUCAACCGACAGUCAGAAUUUUAUUUUAUGUUCAAAAGUCAAACACAUCUAAGCAAAGGACAUGGGAACCUACCAUUCUACAGCUCAACACAAUUCCCACUCAGAUACGGGAUGCCAAAAUUUGAUGAAACAUUCUACAUUCUUACGAUCUAUGUUUCAACCACAAAUCCAAGCACUUACCAAACUAGUUGGUUCUUUGUAUUUUCUAAAUUUUGAUCCAAUUGCCACCAAUUUUAGAACCCUACUCAACAAUUGUCCCCCUAACAGGUUUUAAGAUGCGAUAUUGAGAGAGGAGAAACGGAAAAUAAUUUUUAUAUAUCCUUUGAACUAGGUAUUUAAUUGAGCUAUAAACUCGUUUCAAAGAAAUUAAAAGUACAUAAUUCUCAGAUGUGUGCUCUGUCGACUUCAAAGUGUCAUUUCAUCAAAACAUUUAUACAAGGACAACGUCAUUUGGCAAAGCUUGUAGAAUUUUAUAUGAAUAAAAUAAGUACACAAGUUGACAAGUAUAAACAUUUCAAUAUUUUGUUAGACCAAUCAAAAAGCAUUUUAGUAUUUUACUUGAAAAAUACAGCUGUUGAGAGUAGGGAAAAAAAUUAAAGUUAAUUUACAUCCUAAAAUAAUAAAAUUAUUUUCACAUUUUUUUCGCUUAAGAAAAUAUUUUACAUUGCUCUGUAAAAUGGAGUGCUUCUAUACCCAUCCGAUGUCUUAUCUUUUCACCUACUCCAUCACCUUUGUGGUCGAUCUUGGAGAUGUUUCGGAUGGUGGUUGCGGUCUUGCUUUCUAGUUUAAUUACAUUUAAAUAAAAAUUAAUAAUAAAAUGUUAUUUAAAGAAUUUAAAAUAGAAUAAAAAACAUGUUACAAGAGAAGGAUAUGAUUGGGUGUUUAAGCGGCCAAUAAUUGGGAUCGGAUGGGGGGAUGCCAGUGAGCAGGGUGUUGGGGCCUUGGGGGCAACGGUAGAGAAAAUUUUCAUUCUAAUGAGAAUACAAAUAGUAAAUCACGUGUUUUAAUAGAAGUGGUAGAAAUUUUAUUUUUAAGUUAUUAAUUUUUUAGCACACAUAUUUCAUAAUUUGUUUAAUGACACGUGGUGUGUCAUCCUGUGUACCGGUCACAUUGAAAAACUCUCGCAACGGUGGGUGGGAAAAGAGCAUAGGCAUUUUUUUUUUGAACAAAACAAGAAAGGUAUAGUUUUGUUUUCACAUUCUUUUGGUGAGUGAGAAAAUAAAGACGUUGGGAAUAAGGUCUAAAAUAUCGAUAUUUCUAUCGAAAUUUCUGUGUUUUUAGACUACCGAUAUUUCUGAUAUCAUUGAUAUUUUAAACCUUGAUAGGAACUCUAUGUGGUACUAAGUCACUUAUGUAUCUUACCAUGCAAUGUAUAAAGUGUAAAAUAUUGUACUAAUUGAUUAUAUAUAAAUUAUUAUGGUGUGUUUUAAUUUUUUUCAUUAAUUACUACAUAUUUUCUACACUCACAAUGUUUGCCAGCUCGCUAUAUAAUCAACUUAAAUUGGUUAAAUCCAUCAUGCAAUACAUUUUCUUCCAAUUUUUUGUGAUAAACUAAUAGAUAAUUGAUUAAAUAAUCACCCUGCAAAGUUUCAAUAAAAAUUUCCAAAAUUUUUCUUACAAUUUUUGUAGUUUUUAUUCAAUUUUUAUCGAUAUCGAUAAUAUCCCGAUAUUUCUAUCAAAAUUUCUUUAUUUUUAAACUAUCGAUAUUUUAGACCUCGUUGUAUACGCACUCGUAAAAUAAUGUCACACAAAUUGAACUUCCAUAUUUGACCAUGCGCGCGAGCGCGCGCUCUCUCCAUCGGCCCGCCCCCAAUUCCGAUUUCUCAAAUUAGGGAUUUUAAAUUUGAGAUACGAUUUAUCAAAUUCACCGAAGCCUUCAGCUUUUCCGAUCCAGCUGCCCUGUAAUAUUCAGGUAAUUUGGCUUCUCUCGUUCUCUUUCACAAAUCCCAUUUCAUACUUUUAAGCUCAUCGACUAAUCAAAGCUCAGAAUUUUACAGAAUUUUACAUAAUUGCAAUGUAGUUUGCCAUAUAUUUUAUCUGGGUUCGGAUCAUAACAAAAAUCCAUUAUUUACAACAAGCGGUAGUGUCUUUUUUCUCAUAAAGAUUGAUAUUUUUUUUUUCUGGUUGAAUUAAUUGCAGGAAAUUGAAUUGAAGAAAUGGGUGAGAGGAAAAGGCAUAGAAUUUUGAUGGUCUCUGAUUUUUUCUAUCCCAAUUUCGGUGGUGUGGAGAAUCACAUCUAUUAUCUCUCACAAUGCCUUCUCAAGCUCGGUCACAAGGUCAGAACACAUUGUCACUUCCACUUUCUGGGUUCAGUAUAUGUGUUUCUUCUAUCUUUAUUUAUCUUGAUAUAACUGAAAAGCGAAAGUUCGAAUUGAAACUGCUGUUUGAUUUAUUUCACAAUGCUAUCAUGUUGGUUUUGCAUCACAUGGAUGUCAAAGCUCACAUCUCGGUAAUGGGGGUCAUUGGAUGGAACUCUGUUUUGUUUAGAGUAACGAUCGAUGGAAUGAGAGGCGGCUGGUGUCACCUUAUGUAUCAGAUACAUACUUGUUAUUUUUUAAUGGGAACUUUAACGAAAAGCACCCGGGACUGUUCACUUUAACGAAAAACCAUAUUUUUACCCUAAAAAAUCAAUACUGAUACUAUUCACUUUACCCUUUAUUUUGUCCUUAUCAUUAAAACUCAAAGUUUUCAAACAUUUUUCAUUAGUUUUUCUUUUUUUAAUAUGAUCCGAACAUUGUCUCUGCCAAGUGAUUUGAGUUAUUUAAAGUAAUGAAGUUCUUUCAUGAUACAAGUCAGCUUCCUUUGUUUGAUUAGUUGUUGACUAGUGAAAUUUCAUUGUUUGAUUAUUUAGGUGGUGGUCACUCAUGCCUACAACAAUCGUUCUGGUGUGAGAUAUAUGACAGGUGGUCUGAAAGUGUAUUAUGUAUGGAAACCAUUUCUCAUGCAGAAUACUUUUCCCACCUUUUAUGGGACACUUCCAAUUGUAAGGACUAUCCUUAUUCGAGAAAAAAUAUCGCUGGUCCACGGACAUCAAGCUUUCUCAACUCUUUGCCAUGAGGCUUUGAUGCACGCACGCACAAUGGGGUACAAAGUCGUAUUUACUGAUCAUUCACUCUAUGGUUUUGCUGAUGCCGGAAGCAUACACAUGAACAAGGUAUUGCAGUUUACUUUGGCAGAAGUAAGUCAGGCCAUUUGUGUUUCUCAUACAAGCAAGGAAAACACAGUGCUAAGGUCAGGUUUGCCACCUGAAAAGGUCUUUGUAAUACCUAAUGCAGUUGACACAGCUAUGUUCAAGCCUGCACCCGAACGACUGAGUAGUCAUGAAAUUGUAAUUGUUGUUAUAAGUAGAUUGGUUUACCGAAAGGGUGCAGAUCUACUUGUUGAAGUAAUUCCAGAAGUAUGCCGUUUAUAUCCCAAUGUGAGUAUUUUAACAUGGCAUUAGAUGAAAUAUUGCAUUUCUAAUAUUUUCCCUAUUUGUGUAUUGAAAUGUUCAUAGAUUCAUAACUUGUCAGCAUUACCUGUAAAACAAUUUUGGUGCAUGAAGCUGUAACCUAAAGGGAAUGCUUUUAUUAUAACGAAAAUGUUGAGGGUAGUUCGAAAUUUGAACCGUAGCAUUAUUGGAUGUAAUUAUUGGCAUAGUUAUUUAGCACUCAAUCAUCUCAUUCAGAAAUGUGUGGUUAGGUUCGUUUCAUUGUUGGAGGAGAUGGACCUAAACGUGUGAGGUUGGAAGAAAUGAGGGAAAAACAUUCUCUUCAAGAUCGAGUUGAAAUGCUAGGUGCCGUGCAACACUCUAAAGUACGAUCCGUCCUAAUUUCUGGCCAUAUAUUCUUAAACAGGUACGUGUCAAUAUAUUCUUUCACAUGAUUCCUCUCCUUUCAACUGGAGGGCAGUUUCUCUAAUUUCUUUUGUUUGUGAAAAAAAAUUAAAUUGUUGGGAUUUGGUCGUUUACUUUAACCGCUAGUCAAAUUGGCUCUCUCUUUAAUAGAAAUAUCACAACAGCUAUAAUUUGAUUCUAUCUGAAGUUGAACAGUGGUGUUUCCAAAGGCGCUGAUCCUAUCAACAAAUUGAAACAUGAGUAAAUUAGGAGCUGCAAUAGCAUGCAAAUACAUCGUAGCAUAGUUCUUUUUCUGACUAGCUUGUUUUUUCUGACUGGCUUACCAUGGAAACUAUGGAGAAACGCCACUCAGGCCAAUAGUUGUGACUGGCAUAGUUCUCAUGUAUUUGCUUCUGUUGUAUGUUUUCCUGAUGCGGAUUUUACCCUUAUUGCAGUUCUUUAACAGAAGCUUUUUGCAUAGCGAUCUUAGAGGCUGCCAGUUGUGGAUUAUUAACAGUCAGUACACGUGUAGGAGGUGUCCCAGAGGUAUGAAAUGUGAAAUCUUCCACCUCUUAGUAGAAUAGUGUUUGUGGAUCUGGACCUUUUAGAGCUUUUAGCUAACCUCAUUUGUGUACAUAGGUACUUCCAGAUGACAUGGUUGUACUUGCAAAACCAGAUCCUAGUGAUAUGGUUCAAGCAAUAGAGAAGGCAAUAUCUAUACUUCCUACAAUCGACCCACAAGAAAUGCACAAUCGUGUGAGUGCACUCUUUCAUUGAUUGUGAUCUUUAGACAAAGAUUACUACUUGUACAGUGGUUAAAAUGUGCUUCUUCGUUUCUAGAUGAAGGAACUGUACAAUUGGCAUGAUGUGGCGAAACGGACAGAAAUUGUUUAUGACCGUGCGUUGAAAUGCUCAAAUCAAAAUCUUUUACAGCGACUCUCACGGUGUGUUUUCAGAAUUUACAUCUAAAUUGCAUACUCAUAGAGAUGUUUGGCUGAGUCUGGUUAUUAUAACAAAUUCAUUGUGCAUAGAAAUGUGAUCAUCUAUUCUCUUCAUCACAUCAAUUGCUGUAAAAGCAGAGUGAUCUGCUCGAGUUUUUCUUCAUCAUUUGGGGUGAAAAGGAUGCACCAGUGGUUAUUUUUGCAUCCCAAAGGCUGAAUGUUGUAUCUCUAGAUCCAUUAGCUUAAUAGUGAUUGCAAACAUAGGAGAGGGUGUUUGUGUACUUUCUUGUUAUAAAAUGUGACACCGGUUUUUAGUUAAGCUGCCUUAAUUGGAUGGCAAGACGUAAACUUGAUCAGGAGGCAGUGAUGGAUUUAGAACUUCGUGUCAUUAUUCAUCCAUCUUGAUGUCUCGAGAAUGCAGAAACAUCUUAGGGGCAAGGGUUGCUAAUUACUUAAUUUGUUUAUUGUAGAUACCUCUCGUGUGGAGCUUGGGCUGGAAAGAUUUUCUGCUUGGUUAUGAUCAUUGACUUUCUGUUAUGGCAUCUGUUGCAACUAUGGAAGGUUGUAAAGUUUCUGUGCAAGUUCUUUGAAUUUCCGCGUUAACACGAUUUCCGUUUUUAAUUACCUUCCUUUCAUUGUCCAUCAGCCUGAAGAGGAUAUUGAAGAGGUGCCCGAUUUCGUUCUGUCCCAUGAUCAAGAUGAAGGGAUCUCGCUGGACAAUGCGAACCACAGCUCGAGAUGACUGCAUUCCAGAUUGACAUUUUUUAUUAUUUUCCUUUAUUAUUUUUUGGUAGGGAUGCAUAGGAUUGACCUGAUUCUUCUUUAUGUUGAUUUCAGUUGGUAGCAUCAGUUUAGUCCUUGCAUGUAAUCAAUUUUGUUCAAGAUUUCGAACUUACAAGACAUAAAAGAUGAUUGUCUGUCGCUUGUAUCGCAACUUUCUUACAAGUUUUGAUGGAUAUUUUAUAUUUGGAAGUUUAUAUAGCACCAAACUUGAAGAAUUGGUACUUUUGAUGAGCUACUCUAAUUUAUAGGGCUAGAGAUUCGACGCUGGUGUAAGGGGACGAAAACGUUGCCUUGGCUAAUUGGCCUGAUUUACACUCACAAAUUUAUAAACUUGUAACUAAUAUAGAAUUACAUGAUGUUACUAAUUCACGUGUUAUAAACUUAUAGUAUGAAUAAAUGACAAAUUAGAUAUUGUACAAGCUUAGGUGUUCAAAGUUGCUUGGUAAUGCAUCAUGGUUUCUAGGCGAUUUUGGAAAUUUGUGAAAAAAAUCAUUUUAAAAUCUACUUGCUUUCACUCUCACCGUACCGUGAGGUAUUGAAAAUUUAUGUAAGACUUUUUGUUGAUUUUGAGAUAGACUGGAGGAUGAUUAUGUUUUCCCGGUGGUUGAGGUGGGUGUGCCCAGAGGAUUUUUGGAAAUUCAAAUUUUAAUGAAAAGUUAACAGUGUUAUUUUUGUUAAGUUGAAAAGACACAUGUCAAUCAAUUAGAAAAGAGAAAACGAGAAGACACAAAAUUUAGGAACAACAAACUUGUGGCCGUAUCAUUAAACAACUAGUAAUAUAAUUGUGUUAAAAAUUUAACAACUUAAAAAAUAAAAGGGCAAAAGACAGUUUACUACCAUUAUGUUUAGUGAUUUUCAACAUUUAGUACAUCAAUUUUUUUUUUCAUCCCAAAGUCAUACCUAAAGUGUAAAUUUUGGGACAGUCUCAUACAUCCGUUAGUCAAACUAUUAGUUCUCCUGUUAAGUGAUGAUGUGGCACUCUGAUUGUGCACCACGUGUCAUUAAAAAAAUAUUAAAAAUUUAUUUAAAUAAAAAUAAUAUUAAAUAAUAUUUAAAAUAUUAAAAUAAAAAAAAUUAAAUUUUUUUUUUUUUUUUCUUCUUCUCUUCUUCUUCUUUUCUUCUUCUUUCUUCUUCUUUUCUUCUUCUGGGUUCGGUUUCUCUUUUUUUUUUUUUUUUUUUCUUCUUCCUCCUCCUUCUCCUUAUUCCUCCUCCUUCUUCCUUCUUCUUCCUCUUCUUUUCCGAGUUCGGUUGUUUUUUUUUUUUCCUUCUCCUCCUUCUUCUUCUUCCUUCUUCAUUCUUCUUCCUUCUUCUUCCUCUUCUUCUUCUCGAUUCAGUUUUUUUUUUUCUUUCUUCUUCUUCUUCUCCUCCUCCUCCUCCUCCUCCUUCUUCCUUCUUCUUCUUAUUCUUCCUCCUUCUGGAUUCGAUUUUUUUUUCCUUUCUUUCUUCUUCUUCUGCUCCUCCUCCUUCUUUUUCCUCCUUUUUCUGGGUUCGGGUAUUAUGUUUUUUUCUUCUCUUCCUCCUCCUUCUCCUUCUUUGCAGGUGGGUUUUUUUUUUUUAUAAAUAUUAUUGAGGAUGAAGAAGAAGGAGAAGAAGGAGGAGGAGGAAGAAGAAGGAAGAAGAAGAAGAAGGAGAAGGAGGAGGAAGAAGAAAAAAAAAAAAAAAAGAGAGAAACCGAACCCAGAAGAAGAAAAAGAAGAAGAAGAGAAGAAUAAUUUUUUUUAUUAUUAUUUUAAUAUUAUUUUUAUUUAAAUAAAAUUUUAAUGACAUGUGGCGCCCAAUCAGGGUGCCACAUCAUCACUUAACGGGAGAACUAACAGUUUGAUUAACGGAUGUAUGAGAUUGUCCCAAAAUUUACACUUUAGUUAUGACUCUGGGAUGAAAAAAAAUUGAUGUACUAAAUGUUGAAAACUACUAAACAUGAAGGUAGUAAACUAUCUUUUGCCCAAAAUAAAACUUCACUCCACUUAUAUAAUUACAAUUUAAUAUCUGUCCAUAUUUCGAACACAAUGAAAAAUAUCUAACAUAAAGGUGGAAUCAAACUUUCGAGAACAGAAAUGAAGAGCCCACAAACUUUUUUCUUUUAAAAAUAAGAUAAGAAGGACAAUGGCAUUGGUACGUUGCAAGUAGGGUACGUGGAGCGAGCCUAGACAACCGUUGGCUUUCUGUCUUUCACAAGAAUCAAUCAUCUAUGUUCGCCAUGUGAGCUUCAUAUCACAGACUCUCAGUGGACACUUCAUCACUCUCUCUCUCUCUCUCUCUCUCUCUCAUCAAAGCCAUGGCAAGCACCAGCUCUCCCGCCCUGUCCUUGUCAAAACUGGAUUUUCCACUAUUUUCCUCUCAAAGAAAAAUGCAAAAUCUCCAUCAAGUUAAGAUUCCUCGCAGGUUGUCGAAGUUUUCUGGGGCUAAAUCAAACGGGUUUGUCCUUUUUUCUUCACUGAAUGGUCAAACUGGUGAGACCAGCCCUCCUAGUGUUGAAGCAACCACUUCAGUAAACAAUGUGUCUGACGUCCAAGUUCAAAGCAGGUACCAUAUUUUCAGUUUCUCUUAUUCGUUUGUUUCAUGGUUCUGUUUGGUUUUACAAAGUAGGAAUACCAGAAGCACUUGUGAAGUCCUUCGUUUCCGGUUUCUUGGGAACCAAACAGAACUUUGGGGAUCAAAUCAUCAAAUUAUACGACUUUAAUUUAGCUUAGUUAGGGAGCUGUAAUUGGUACUCCGAAAUAGCUCCACCCUAGGAAGGAGUGCAUGACAACUAUUUUGUAGGCCGUAAAAAGCCUUCGUACUAAAUUUCUGAACAACCUUUGACUGAACUUGGUAUAAAUCAUACUCCGAUUUAUGCAUAUUAAGUUUAAUUGUGGUAAAUCAGCAUAUAUAGCGGUAUGAACUGAAAAAAGAUGAGACAGAAGGUAGCUGAAUUUUAAAACAUCGUAUGCAAACUAAGUCGAACCAUAGUAAAUGGAACUCAUAUGAACUAGUAGAAGUGGGAAGAAAAGAGAAACUUGGAUGAGUUGCCUCUGCCUCAUGUUGGAAUUCUAGUAAGACUUGAACCCGGAGUUGCUCGUGAACCCGGAUCGAGUUGCUCGUAUGCUUUUAUAAAGCUUGUGUUCUUGAUCCCCCACUUGAUAUAUGACGCAAUAUAGGUUCCGCUAAUGAGAGUUGAACACAGAUGUUGCCUUAAAGAGUAUUCCAGAUUCGGUUGCCAUUGCAUUGUAUCUUUGAUCCUUUAAUUCAUGAGAAUUGUAAUUGAUAUGAAUUAUUUGAAAUUUUUAUGAAUAUAUUUCUAAUGCUAUCUUUCUUCUGUGUGCCGUAGUAUAUGGAACUGGAGGGGUUAUUCUAUCCGAUAUCAGCAUGCUGGCAACAGUGGCCCGGCAUUAGUUUUGAUUCAUGGUUUUGGAGCAAACAGGUCCACAUCAUCCACAUAUUACUUCUCAUAAGCAGACAACUAAUUGCUAUAGGUAUUACAUGCACAAAUUGCUAAUUACAGUCAUGAUUUCACACACACGGAGACAAGAGACAUAUCUCUUUUUGUUAGCUCGACGCAUGGUUUGAGGUUUCAUUAAAUUUACUUGUACAUGGUUUUACUGUUUACAUUGGUUGCCUGUUAGUUUGCUGGUAGGAUUAUUUUGUACACAACUGGGAGAGAGUUAUUUCUUUGCUAACUAGAUUUAAUAAGUCAGAUCGUUAGCUGAUGAAACUGUCGGUAAUGCUUAAGAACAAACCAACAGACCAAACUCUGAAUUUCUGGGUUUUGUUGCAAUCUAGAACUUAAACCCUCAUCUUGUCCAUGAUCUCUUUCAUCCCAUGCUUUAACCUGUCAAGUUCGGUACAUAUGACAUGCAUUUUAUCCUUUACAGUGAUCAUUGGAGGAAAAAUCUUCCAGUUCUUUCAAAAUCACACAGGGUAUACUCUAUCGAUCUUAUUGGUUAUGGGUACUCAGACAAACCAAAUCCUCGUCAAUUCGGGGAAACUUUGUUUUAUACAUUUGAGACAUGGGCCACCCAGCUAAAUGAUUUUUGUACUGACGUUGUCAAGGGUGAAGCAUUCUUUAUAUGCAACUCUAUCGGAGGUACAGAUAUUUGGAGCCCUUGAUCUUUCUGAACUUUUUCUUUUGAAUGAUAUCAAAAAAGAUCUAACCUUACAAGUGCUUUUCAUGGCUUCACAUAGGACUUGUCGGUCUUCAGGCAGCAGUUAUGGAGCCACAGUUAUGCAAGGGCAUAAUGCUUUUGAAUAUUUCUCUUCGUAUGCUGCAUAUUACAAAGCAGCCUUGGUGCGGGAGACCAUUGAUCAAAUCCUUUCAGAACUUGCUGAGGUAAAGGCGGAUUAAAUAGUUUGUUUUCCAUAUUAGAGUUCUAUAGUGUAAAAAAGGAUUUCAAGAUAGUCAUGCUGUUGUGACAGAAAUACUGAUGUGGGCAAAUACUUCUUCAAAACUGUUGCCACACCACAAUCUGUCAGGAAUAUCCUUUUUUAGUUUCAUUUUGGAUGCAAAUAUUUCUUCUUUUUGUUAGAUUAUGUCAUGGAAGCUUCAGGUGGAGUUUUUUUUCACAGUAAGUAGAAUAGAAAAGGAAGGCCAUGCCCAUAAAUGAAACUAUGACACAAUUAUCUAAUCUGCCUCACCAAAUGACACUGUCUGUUUUGUCCAUGCAUUUUUAUGUCACCCAUAAAUGAAAUAGGGAUUACAGACUUGGACUAUUAAUCGGUAGUGGGUAUAUAUGCGUUUCAUUUAGUGGUUCGCAUUACUAAUAUCAAUUCCAUGUCUACAAUCUCCUCAUUUCUUUUUGGUUAAACAGGGUUUGGUGCAGUGAAUUAGUGGAGCAUUCAAACAAAAAUACAAACAGAAAUACUACAUUACUAAGGUAUUUCCCUCAUUUCAUUACCGAGGUAUUCCCCUAUUCAUUCUUAAUUUUGUUAGAUGGUACACAAUCGCACAGCAUGUUUAAUAUUUACUUUGAAUGUCGUCAAAGGCAUCACCUUUUUAUGCCUACUGUCUUAACUUUGGUUAGGGUGGUAUAUGUUUGGCUUGGGGUAGUUGUGGGAGGUUACUGAAUAUGUUUAAUUCCCGUUUUCAAAUUUUAAUGCAAUUCAAUUACAAAUAAUGCUAAUAUUUGAUUCCCGUGACUUUAGCAGUCUCGACGACUGUCUCACGAAAUUCAGCACCGCCGGUACGCCGCCGUGGUUGCUCUUCAGAGCACCAAAACGUCCAGACCCAAAGCCCGCCCCUUCUCUCUGACGCUCUCACCGGUUAUGCGAGGCAAGGUAUUAAUCACAAACUUUACAAGUACAUGCUUAGUAUUCUGCAAUACACCUCUUGCCUUUGGCUUGGUUUCCGUUGUGUGUCUCCAAACAUUUUAGUAAUUUUACACUCCAUUCAGAAAUUCACUCGCUGUUUACAUUUUGAAUGCAGUCUAACUAUUUGUGAAAAGUUGCGAGUGGCAGGUGGGUUGGAGACUUUCGAGUUUCCAGUUCAUUUUUUUAGAUGAAUUAUGGUGCUGAGGUGUAGUGGGAGGCACUGAGUCUGAGGGGGAAGAUGCUUAAUCGGUUAAGUCGGCUGUUGCUUUUGCACUGCUGCUCCGAGAAUAAAUUGAAGACACAAACUAAUACGUACCUUGUAGCGCUUUGUGGACCAGUCACAAGCGGUGUUCCUUAGUCACCUGUACAAAUUCUAAUACAAGUUAUAGAUGCCCUUGACAAUCUUGCAUUGAUCGAUCAUUUAAAUUUACUAGGCAUACUAGUUAAAUUACAAGGAGUUAUAAACUCGGCCAAAAAAACAAUGGAAAAGGUUAAUCAAAAGUUCUUUGAUGAGGAAACCAUCAUCAUCCUACACAAGCACAAAUGUUAAGCUUUCUCUUAGCAGUCAUCAAGAUAAACCGUAUGUAUUGAAAAUUUGAAGUUGUCGUCUACAAUAUAAACAGUAAGCAGAAACAAUCAAAAAACAAUAAUAAAAUCUUAUCCCACUAAAUGGUGUACAAUAUAAACAGUAAGCAAUAAAACAAAAAAAUAAUUAUGAAAAUUAAGGCAUCUAAGACCAUCUCCAAAGGAGAUGUCAAAUCCUAGGUGGAAUUCCAUAUAAUCAAACUUGAAGGUAGAAGUGAGCUCCAACCGAUAUGUCAAUCUUAUGUGUAUUGACAUAUGAGAAAAUAUGAUGUCAAUUUUUUUUUAAAUUAUUUUAUUAUGUGGGUCCUAUUAAUGCACCAAUUAUAGAUCUUGAAAAACGUAUUUUAAUUGAUUUCUUUAAGAUGGGUCUUACAAAUAUCAUUUAUGACAAAGAAACAUAUCGGUUGGAAAAAGAGAAAAUUUGACAUUGCCACAUCAAAUGUAAUUACACCCUUCUAAAUUACUUAUUCUGAUUCACAUUACUUAUUUCUUGCAUGUAAUUAAUUUUGUUCAAGAUUUCGAAUAUACAAGACAUAAAAGGUCAUUGUCUGUCGCUUGUAUCGCAACUUUCUUACAAGUUUUGAUGGAUAUUUUAUAUUUGAAAGUUUAUAUAGCACCAAACUUGAAGACUUAGUACUUUUCUUUUGAUGAGCUAUUCUAAUUUAUAGGUAGAGAGAUUCGACGCUGGUGCUCCGAGGCCAUGGCUAUUUGUAGGCCAUGGCGAAGUUUACUUUGAUUACAGAUUUCAAAGUCUCUAAAAUCCUAAUUGAUUGUUUGUUAAAAAAUCCUCAUUGAUUAUCUGAUUUUAAAGUCUUAAUUUUUUUUUCAAAUCUUAAUUUAAUUACACCCUUCUAAAUUAAAGAGAAAUUAGAAUGUCUUGCAAUUUUUCCAUUUCAACGUAUCUACGUAAUUAAUUGUAAUAAUUAAUAUUGUGUUCAUGAAUCAAAUGUACUGAAUAUUCAACAGGAUCCUUUUCGGAUGCUUUUGAUGAGAAUCCUCUAUGAAUCGUGUCCAUUCAUUGUGCAUUGUACGGUCAAUUUUUAUCAAGUACUGUUUGUAUUUAAUUUUAAAUAAAAAUAUUUAAAAUGAGAUAUGACCGCACGAUAUAUGAUGAACAUACACGAUUAAUGGAUACCUGAGAUAUUCAUAAGGAGAAUACGGAGACGAUCCAUUCUCACUGAACAUUAGCAACAAGUACAAUAACUUUCAGCGGCCCAAACCGAAAAAAAAAAUUGAAAUCAAGAACCACAUUAAAAGUCAAACUUAUCAGUAAAACUGUAAAAGAGAAUCGUGUAAAGUGAUGUUUCCUAAAAUAAAGGCAAUAUUCCUUUAUUGCCUUCCGUCAUUUUCCUUGACUUCCGUCAUUUUCCGUGACGUGAGGGAUAUACGCAAUAGUUGGAUCCUUCGAUCGCCCUCCGACCUCUCUCCCACUUCUUUUUACUCUGCUUUUUCUCUUUUACCUGCCUAAUUUGUUUCUUUCUCUGUCUGCUUGCUUCUGUUGUUUCCUGCGCUACACCGUAAUCGCCGAAAUGCCCAACAGGAAGCCAAGGGCCAGCCGAAGGGCACUCAAGGACAAAAACCCAUCUGGAAAUGCAGCCAAUAUCCUCGUAGGAAAGGUCUUGGAUGCCGCUCCGAGCCCGAUCCAAACACCAUGGGACUCCAACCCAGAGAAGGAGAACCACGCGAGCCUCUCUCAGACUCGCACCUCCCCCAAGAAGUCAGCCAAAGCUGCGGCUUCUAAGAGACAGGCCAAGCAGAAGAAGACCCAACUGUCGUCAUUCGAGAAAGAACUCGAAGAAAUGCAAGAGAAGCUGCAAGCGAUGAAGCUCGAGAAGGAGAAACCCUUUGAGCUCUUGAAGGAGAAGAAUGAGAUCUUGAAGACCAAGGAGGAAGAUCUAGCAAUGAAGGGCCGAGAGCAAGACAAGCUUCAGAUGGAGUUGAAGAAGCUGCAGAAGCUCAAGGAGUUCAAACCCACCGUGGUCUGUUUCUUGAUCCCCUUUCUUUUCUUCAUUUGCGUCCUUAUUUCUUCCUGUGUUGCAUUAUCCUCUGUUUGGAUGCUGAGAAAAUAUAUUAUGGAUCUGAAGUUUGGUUGGGUGAUUCUUACUUUUGGGUUCUCAAAUUUGUUUGGUUACUUGUCAAUUGUAAAAAAAAUAGAAAAAAAAAUCCAUGAGGGUUCUUAUUUAUAUGUUCUUAGGGUUUUUGUUCUCGAUCCCCUUUCCUGGAAUUCGUAAUUUUGGGAUCCCAGCUUUUGCAUACAAUCUACUUUUGGGAUCCCUCACGUGCAGGCUAACGGGAAAGGAUUGAAGUUAAGUUUUGGGGCAUAAAUCCGAAUAGAUUUUACCACGAUGGUUCAAAUCCGAAUUUUUUUACCACAGGAUUAUUAUUCCGUAUAUAUAUCUCUCUCAUGCAGUCGUUAUCUUUGCAAGUAAUUCUUUAUUCAAUUGGUUUUUAUGAUUUGGUCUUGGUUUAUUUUUAUGCUUGCAGUUCAAAAUUUCAUGCUCUUUUUUGUUUCCCUUCAGAUGGAAAUGGAAAUGGAUAUGGAUAUGGUGAGGAGCAAUCAGAGGAGAUUGGGGCACUGCUGCAUGAACAAUGCAAGGCUGAUGGAGCUCCCCAUCGAAAUCCUUGACAACAUCUAUUUGAGGCUACCCGUAAGCUGUCUUUUUACCCUCAGAUGUGUCUCUAAGACAUCAAAGAACAUAGUCGACUGCCCUUGCUUUGUUACACAGCACAUGCGACAUUUACUUUCGGCACAAUCUACUUUUGCUUCCGAUCAGUUUAUGCUUCUUCAUCACCUUUUCUACGACUCUCUUUGUGGAUUUGCCUUUACACCACUGAAAUAUGAUGGCGUCAGCGCUGCCUUGAAGAGAAGCGAAGACUAUGCAAUCGUUUCUGAUAUUGUGUCCACAAAGAUUGGUGUUUCUUAUUCUUUGAGUUUUGUUUUCUACAACUUGUUUUUCUUUCGAGAUCAUGGCUAUAGUCGUCAACCGUACAAGAAGAAAGAAAGAAGUCCAUGCUUCUUAUUCAAUCCUUUAAAGGGAGAAGUUCUUCCACUCCCAACCACUGACAUCCAAUUUCCAUAUAGUUUUUAUGGAUCGUGCAAGGAAUGGUAUGGUAUGGGAUUUGAUGAUAUAACCAGCACUUACAAGAUUCUGUGUGUUUCUGGAGAUGAAGAUUCGACGAGAUAUCAACUUAGGGCCCAAAUUUAUGUACUAGGUACCGGCUCGUGGCGAGAGAUACCCUCAGUCCCUCCUCGUAAUUUGAGCAACAACCAUGCAUUUGCACAUGGAGAUCAGCAUUGGUUGCUUUAUUUACCUGAUCACUCAAGUUAUGAUAAUAGAAGAGUACUCGGUAUAUGUUCUUUUGACUAUAAGAAAGAGGAGUUUUACUCGACUAUUCCUCUUCCCGAGCACAUGCAACGUAAGUAUAUUCCGCACUAUAUGGUCCUUUUGUCUCUACACUUGCUUAAUCUUAAAGGAUCUUUGGCCGUCGUGGACACUUUAUCAGAUGACUAUAUUGAGGUAUGGGUGUUAAAGAACUAUGAUACAAAAGAAUGGAGGCUAGAUUACAAGAUAGAAAACGCAAUUGUCAGAGGCGAGCUUAUUAACGUGACAUGUUGUGAAUGGAAGUAUGGCAUAUUCUUCACUAAAUCACAAGGGAUGUCAGAAAGUAGAAGGAUUACAAUCUUUGUGGAUUUUAGAUGUGGCUCCAUUAGUCAUGUAAAGUUAUUUCCACCCAAGCGCAUCUGGAAUACAAGCAUCUUGAGCUAUAAUGGGACCUUAAUGUCCCUAAAAAAUUAUGGGAAAUUGGUGAGACCUGACCCUACUACUGGAAGCAUCAGUGUCUAGUAACGGGAAAUUUGCUGGCAUUGUUUGAUGCAGCUGCAACUGCAAGGUGAGGAAAACUUGGGAUGUUGACGUUUUUAUGGAUCGUUCCAUUGUAAUGCUUUUAUUGUUUUCCAGACUUGUGAUUUGUUUUGUUUCUCAUUUGAUGUUGUGAGUGAUGCAAACUAUGGACAUGGAAAGGUUAUAAAUUAGAUAAGUCUGCUUUCAUUUAUGUUUUAUAUAAAAACUGUGUUUUAUAUAAUUGGAUUUUGAAAGAUAAUUGAUUAUAUAAGCAAAUGCUAUGAACUAUAAAUUAAGAAUUUCUUAUAGAUCUUCCAGAGAGAGCAACGUUUCAAACAAUUUCAUAGACUGAAUAAAAAAAAUAAAAAAUACUGUCAUGGAAUUCGAAAACCACGGAAGAGCUUAAACCCUAAACCACAGAAGAGCCUUAUCUGAGAUGAAGAGUAAGGUCCGGUUCUGGUAGCACCCUGCUGAUGUCGGUAAGAGUCAUAUUUGAUGGGUCAAAGCUUCGCAUGUCUUUAAUGUCAUCAGGCAUUGCAAUGAACACGGUCCAAUGCAAAGCUAUACUUGGGCAAGGCAUGUAAAUCUUUGCUUAUGUUACUUUGUUUAUUGUCAUUUUUCAUGUUUGUUUGUGAAGUUCAGGGAAGUUUGUUAUUUCAGGUUUCGUGGGUGAAGCAUUUUAAUAUUUUAGUAUUUUUACACUCCGUUCAGAAGUUCACUCGCUGUUUACAUUUCGAAUGCAGUGUAACUGUUUGUGAAAAGUUGCGAGUGGCAGGUGGGUUGGAGACUUUCAAGUUUCCAGUUCAUUUUUUUAGAUGAAUUAUGGUGCUGAGGUGUAGUGGGAGGCACUGAGUCUGAGGGGGAAGGUGCUUAAUCGGUUAAGUCGGCUGUUGCUUUUGCACUGCUGCUCCGAGGCCAUGGCUAUUUGUAGGUUUGGGCAAUCCCGGCGAUAAGUACGAAGGAACUAGGCACAAUGUACUAUUCCAGAUUAUACUUUUAGUGGCUACAAUUUGAGAUUUUUAGUUUUUGUGUUUGUUGUUUCGAUACCAAGUUUCAGAUUCUCAUUUUUGUUUGUUUGAAGCAGGCGGGGUUUUAGAUGAUUGAUGUGUUUGCGGGUUCGCAGGGCAUUGCAAUGAACACGGUCCAAUGCAAAGCUAUACUUGGGCAAGGCAUGUAAAUCCUUGCGUAUGUUACUUUGUUUGUUGUCAUUUUUCAUGUUUGUUUGUGAAGUUCAGGGAAGUUUGUUAUUUCAGGUUUCGUGGGUGAAGUUCUGGUUUUUCUUGCAAAGCCUCAAACUUAAAUGAAUUUGAGAGAUGAAUCUGUAAGUGACUGAUAUACUUAAUUAUGUUGUUGUACUUCUAUUUGGAAAGGUUAUUCAUUUAUCUAGCCUAGCUAUUUAUGUUUAUUACUUCCACUGGGAUUUCAAUGAAUAUACUGAGAUGGUAUUUGUUCUGUUCAUUUCAUUCCUUCUAGCUCACUUCCAAACCCAUUCGCAAUUCAUUAACUGCUUCACUUUUGUAUGCUACGGGUUAUGUAACUAAUGUGACUAGAAGAUAUAUCAGUGCAUGGUUUAACUUGUACCUCUCUUUUGUUAAACUACAGACAGGACCCCUUGCUGCUUAUUAUAAGCUAUCUCUCAAUUCAAGGUUGGUCCCAUUCAAGGUCAGUUUUCUUUAUUAAAUGUAUAACAGUUCAAUGCUUGGGUAAAGUAAAGAGUACGAAUUUUUCACUUUCAAAAUGAAGAAGGAAAAUGAUAGAAAGAUAGAACUCCUAUGUCAUUUUGGUUCUUGGUGUGUUUUCAAAUUUUUCCUUAGCUUCCCUGAUUUUCCUUUUUUAACUUUAUUUUUGUUUGUUUGGUUGGGUGAUGCAAUUUGAUCAGAUUUUGUUCAAUUGAAUAGUCCCUGAAGCAACAAGAAGGAACUGACUGCUGGGGUUUCUUUAGCAAGUAAUAAUUCUUAAUUACUUACAUGUUUUCAUUUUAAUUUAUGAUUGGAUUGGUCCUUUCUCAUAUAAAUUCGAGCUCCACAAUAGUUGGACCAUUGAUAUGUUCUGACUGUAAAUACCAUGCAUUCUAAGUAUGCUACCUAACUGGUCAUGUGCUGGGACACUCACUUUGCAUAAACAAAUUGCAGUAGCACAUACACGUGACGUAGCACUCCUACGAAUGGUUGAUAUUUCAAAUGCUAAAAAUGCAGUCCAUACAUACUUCAAUUAUAGGCACUAAUUUAAUACAUCUGUGAUGAGCUCACGACCUUUUGAUUUGAUGAAACCAUAUGGCAUAUUACAGCUUCUUUCAACUUACUCUUUUAAUUUAUGAUUGUGCUAAUUUUUGUGUAUUUUUUGAAGAUCUCUUUUUUUUUUUUUUUUCUUCUCAUUCAAAUAUGCACCACUAAUUCUUUGUUAUGUAUGUAGCUCUAUGUUUCCAUUACCUGCUUGCAUUUUCUACUUUUGCGUUUUUUUGUGUGGUGAUUAAGUAAUUUGUGAUCGUGUUUGGUUAGGAAAGUGCAGAAAAAAUGGGUGCCCUAUAAAUUUAGUAAAAAUGCUAGAGAAAAAAAGGCAAUCGCAAUUGGCAGCUUACACCACGUUCGUAACUCAACGGAAAAACAGCCAGAAGUCUAUAGUUGAUCCGAAAGAGUGGCAGGUUUGACAAUGGUCGCACUGAAUGCAUUUUUGCUCACUGUUUGAAUCUGAAAAUCUGUUAAUUUUCCAUUCAGGUUGAACCAAAAAGUCUCCUGGAUGCACAUUUUCUUAAUAGCAAUGUCUUUUGAGUAAUGUUGAAGCAGGACAUUGUAUCUUUGAGAAAGUUUAUGGUGUAUAGUUUCUGCAUUAAUUUAUUUUGGGAAUAGUAUAUGUAUUCAUAUAUGGAGUUUCGUGAUACAUGCACCGGAAAUUAUACAGUAUGCCAUUAGCUUCAAUGAUUGAGAUCAUUAGCUUCAAUUGUUGAGUUUUUGAAAAGCCUUUUGCAUUGCAAGGAAAUUUUUUUUUACAGUCUUUUGGAAGUGACCUUAGACCAUCUCCAACCCUUGGGCUAAAAGCCACAUUUUUUAGCCCGGAAAAUUUACCUUUUAGCCCAGAAACAGCUUUUCUGCUCCAACUCUUCUAGCUUAAAUUUUUAGCCCGGGAUUAUUAAAGAAUGAACUUAGGCUAAUUUUUUUUCUUAAAUUUUUUUUUUAAUAAAUAUGUAGACUAUUGUAAAUUAAUUUUAUGAACAUUUUAAUCUAAAAAUAUUUAAAUUCCGAUAAAUAUGGAAAAAUCACUAAAUUUUCCACAAUGCAAGCCUUCAACAUAGGUAUUUAUAGAGUUUUUGGGUGAAUUUUGAGUUAAAUAUAUUUUUUUAAUUAUUUUGGCCGUUGGAUUUAAAUUUGGGUCAUUAGAUCUUUUUUUUACCGUUAAAUUUGAUUAUAUUCGAUCUCAGCCGUUAGAUUCAAUGUAUUUUAAAAUAACAUAUUUAAAAAAAAAUUGAAUCUGGACGUUGGAUCAACCAACUGUCCUUAAAUGAUGGUCGUCCGAUAUGCAAAAGAGUUGUUGGGCUUGGGGAAGUGGCCGACAUGGGCCCUACCAGUGGGCCCCACGCUAUCGGGAAACAAUUUCAAACCUACUGCGUGUGGCGCGUUGGCGUGUGGGCGGGCCGAGACUGGCCCAAGUUCCAGCGAGUCCACGCAUUGGGGGGGGGGGUGGUAUUUGGCCCAGCUUUAGCAUUUGGCUUUUAGCCCAAUGUUUUAGCUUGGGUUGGGUGGUGUUUGAGGGGGGGAAUAAAUGGAGUAAUUUGGCUUUUAGCCCAUGGUUGGAGAGCGUCUUAGCAUUUAUUGAGCCAAACAGAAAAUUUUAAUUUAUAUGUUAACCAAUUUGUGAACAUUGUAAGAAAAAUUUAUAAGUAAUUACGAAGCGCUAACAUAAGUGCUUUGUAUUAAACUUUUAAGCUUGAAAAUUAAGUAAUAAAAACAAAUUCAAGCAGGGCCCAGAGCAUAGCUAGUGAGAAGGGAGUUUCGUUGAUCAUGACACUUUUGUAAUUUCCGAUCAUGAUCAUAAAUGAAGCUUUGAUUAGGGCGAAAGUAACAAAAAAAAAAAAAGAUUUUAUGAUGGCAUUUUGUAGAUAGUCGCAAAACAGAUUAAAACCUGUGAGUUUCCAGCCAAAAUAUUUGUGAAAGAAGAAACCCUUUAGUUUUGACAAGAUCUUUUCAUUAUAUUGAUAAUGCACAUGAACACCUUCUACUUGAGAAAUUUCUCAAAAACUUCUAUAUUGGAGGAUAGAAACCUUCCCUAGCUAUUAGUUUGAAAACUUAUGGUCAUAUCCCUCGUUUUGUUAAUUGAUUUUGAAUUAAAUGUUCACAUUCAAAUGUAAAUAUUCACAUAUUUAGUCCAACAACUCACGCAUAAGUUGGUGUGUUGAAAUGUUGAUCUACUACAACAAAAUGUGUUAUGGGGCAUUGAUUUGAGGGCACCAUUCCUUUUCAGUGGCUUUAUAAACCUGAUUGUCACUGUUGGUGUCAACUGUAACAAUUUUGACACCAAAGACAUAUUAAUUUGUUUUUCAACUUAGAACUAAUUUUCUUGUUUUUAUUUGAUUGUCGCUCCAUUGCAAGUUUGCAACCCACCACAAGUGUGAAAACAUUUGGAUUCAUACCUCCACAACUUGAGGUUUCUCCUUUCAUGGAAUUUUUAUGCUGUCAUGAACGAUCAAAUUUUAUCAUUCGUUUUCGAAAAUUUGGAGGCAUCCCGCACUCUUACCAUUUCCAUUAUGUCAAUAACGAUCGUUGCCUCCUUGCAUGAAAAAAGCAGAAAUGAAUUAAUAGCUUCUCAUGCCGUAAAAAAAGUAAUAUUUUUGUCAUUUUCUUUAAACUUUGGAUGCAUGCAUGCUAGUAUUUCAUCAUGUAUAUCAUGAAUUACUAUUGGCUCGUAUCCUGCUUAGAUGAAAAUUCAGCUGAAACCCUCAUCAAAUAUGCUCAGAAUAUUCAACUAGGCACAUAAUUAAAGUUUUUUUUAUAAAUUUAUAUUAUCAUUAUAUAAAGAAUAAGGCUAAAGUUUUUUUAUUGAUCCCUGCGGUGAGACACUACUUUUAAUCCUAUGGUGAAGUUCGUUAUCAAUAGUAGUCCAAAUUGAAUUUUUUGUCAAAAUCUCAUCCGCAUGCAGGGGUAAAAAGGUCAUUACAAUCUUUUUCUUUUCUUUUUGGUAAUUCCAAUUUUUUACGAUCAACAAAAGUAUAUACUAUUUAAUGCACAUAUUAAUCUAGGAAAUUGUUAUUAGCACUCUAAAAAUCUCAUUUGUCAUUCCAAACUUUCUAUAAUUAUAAAAAAAAUACACUUGUGAGGAGUGUAGAAUGAGAUUUUUGAAGUGCUAAUAACAAUUCCUUUAAUCUAUUCAACAUUGGUCAAAUAAACAUUUAUUCGACUGAACGAAUCAACACCACUCGAUGUACCAAAGGAGAGCUAAGUUUUUAUUUUUCAUUUAAAGUAUUUGGCAUCUUUUAUUGUCAAUUCAAUAAAGGGCAUAUGUAUCCAACAAAAGAAAAAUAAAUGAUAAGCACACAACCUAUGUAGUCUUUCACACUCCCCUUAAUCUUGACUUUUAUUUUUUUAUAAUUUUUUGAAUUUGGUUGUUAAAAAUAAACUUGAAAUAAGUCCAAAUUUGUAAGCAAUUACUAUAUAUUGUCCAAUUUUAUUUAAUUAUUGGUUUAAGUCCACUGACUCAUUGUCCACGUCAUUUUAUUUUCAUUUUUUGUCAAAAUUACCCCUCUAUUAACAUUAUCCAUUAAUUCUAGAUUUACUUGUAUUAUGAAAUUAAUUAUAAUUGAUUAUUUAUCAUUAAAGUAAUCUCAUAAUUGUAGGAUUAGUUUGAAAUAAUCUUCCUCAUAACUCCCGUACAAAUAGUAUUAUUUUUUAUGCGUGGUGGUCUUCUUACUCCUUGGAACCCAUAACCGUGUAUGUUCAUGCUAGAACAUUUAACCACAGGGCUAGGGAGAAAGCCUUCUAAACCAUAACCGUGGGUGUUGAUGUGUAUAUAAUUGUAGGCUCUCACUAUUAAUUUCUUUCUUAGUUUUUUGUUUGUUUAUAUGAACUUUUCUUUUUAUAAGUAAAAACGUUAUAGCAAAAGCACUUUAUUUAUUUUGUUUAUAUACCUAAUACAUAGGUAGACGUAGAAAAUAAUUUUGUCUUUCUAUAGAGUGAGUAAAAUAUAUAUGCUUUAUAGGUAUAAAGUAUUAUAAUUGAUUAUUUGUCUUUAAAUAAUUCCCUACUUGUAGAAUUAGUUUUAAAGUAUAUCUCUUCUUCCAUAACUCCCUUAUACAAUUUGUGCUGUGUUCCCCGAUCCCCUGCCUUCUUGUUCAGUCUUCUUCUUUCAAGCUCUUAUGAUUUCUUCCUCCUUUUUGAAAUACAAGGUCACAAUUUCUAAUUUUUUUUUCAGUGGUAUAGAGCUUUGAAGUAUGCCAAUACACCAACAAAAGGUGCAUUGAUGUACGUGGUUGGUUUUGGUUUUGUAGCAUCAAAUCUUGCAUCUUCCUACUUGUCAUCCCCACCAGGUCCUCCUACAAUAGCACUAGUUAGGUCGUUUUGAUUGGGAACAUUGCCAUGAAAAUAUGAGUUUAAACCAGGUCUUCCUAAUAUUUAGUUUGAACUUGGAUUAUACAUAUUUUUCUUUUCAACCUUUAUAGGAAAUGCAUUGCUUUGUUUAUCUACCUGUGUUAUAUAUUUAUGUAAUGAAUCUAUUUGUAUAUUUUAUUAUUCUACCCGUGUUAUAGAUUGAUUGUAUUUUAUCUACCUAUAUAUCACAAAUUUUUCUAUCUCAAAUUAAUUGUGUUAUCUACCUAUAUGAUAUGUUUUUGCUCAUUAGUCUAUCCAUAUCCAUAUCACAUAUUAAAAAAAAAGUUUAAUCAAAUCUCUAAAAAGCAUAGAUGUUGAGUUUAGAAAAUUAAAAAACAAGGCGUCUUUUGUUCAAUGGAUUCGAGCAAUGUUGUAUCACUAUUACAUGGCAGAAUCGACCAAACUUAGCGAAUUAAGUGUAAAAAUGGCUAAAAACUUAAUUUUCUUUCCUACAAGUCAAUUGUACAGCUAUGGAAGGGAAAAUACAAAUCAAUCAAUUACAACAAUUUAACGCCUAAUCUAAUUCCUUUGAAGAUAUGGAUUGUGAUCGUGAUCACGAUUCUUUUUUAACAUUAAGUUGCAGCAUAAAGAAAAAUCCUCUGCAUUUGCAUAAAAUACACAAAAUAAAUCCCUUGAAAAAUACAAUAAUAGAAAACAACUACGGUAACACCUCUAAGGGUGCGUAGCCCACAUGAAUAAAAAAAUGCUUCAAGCGAGCGGCUUCGUGAGUAUAAUGAAGCUAGUAUCAUCAUAUAAUAUAGUAUAUACUAUUUAAUGCACAUAUUAAUCUAUUCAACAUUGCUCAAAUAAAAAUUUAUUCGACUGAACGAAUCAACACCACUCGACGUACCAAAGGAGACUUAAAGUUUGUAUUUUUCAUUUUAAGUAUUUGGCAUCUUUUAUUGUCAAUUCAAUAAAUGGCAUAUGUGGAUAAAAAUAAAUAAAUAAAUGAUAAGCACACAACCUACGUAGUCUUUCACACAUCCCCUUAAUCUUGACUUUUAUUUUUUAUAAUUUAUUCAAUUUGGUUGUUAAAAGUUACUUUUAAUCUUGACUUUUAUUUUUUUAUGAUUUAUUCAAUUUGGUUGUUAAAAAUAAAAAGUAACGUGCCAGAAGAUAAAAAUGGUUCGAAAAUAAUUACAAACAAAUAAAGGGCAUAGACCUUUUAUCACCAAAAAAAAAAAUAAUUGUGGGCGGGAAGAGUAACAGUCGGAGUAUAAACAGACACUCCGAAGAGAACGAGUGCGCUUGGGCCUUCAGCAACAGUGACUUUAGCAGUCUCGACGACUGUCUCACGAAAUUCACCACCGCCGGUACGCCGCCGUGGUUGCUCUUCAGAGCACCAAAACGUCCAGACCCAAAGCCCGCCCCUUCUCUCUGACGCUCUCACCGGUUAUGCGAGGCAAGGUAUUAAUCUCAAACUUGACAAGUAUAUGCUUUGUAUUCUGCAAUACGCCUCUUGUCUUUGGCUUUGUUUCCGUUGUGUCUCCAAACAUUUUAGUAUUUUUACACUCCCUCCGUUCAGAACUUCACUCGCUGUUUACAUUUUGAAUGCAGUCUAACUGUUCGUGAAAAGUUGCGAGUGGCAGGUGGGUUGGAGACCUUCGAGUUUCCAGUUCAUUUUUUUAGAUGAAUUAUGGUGCUGAGGUGUAGUGGGAGGCACUGAGUCUGAGGGGGAAGAUGCUUAAUCGGUUAAGUCGGCUGUUGCUUUUGCACUGCUGCUCCGAGGCCAUGGCUAUUUGUAGGUUUGGGCAAUCCCGGCGAUAAGUACCAAGGAACUAGGCACAAUGUACUAUUCCAAAUUAUACUUUUAGCAGCUACAAUUUGAGAUUUUUAGUUUUUGUGUUUGUUGUUUCGAUAACAAGUUUCAGAUUCUCGUUUUUUUUGUUUGAAGCAGGCGGGGUUUUAGAUGAUUGAUGCGUUUGCUGGUUCGCAGGGCAUUGCAAUGAACACGGUCCAAUGCAAAGCUAUACUUGGGCAAGGCAUGUAAAUCUUCGCGGAUGUUACUUUGUUUAUUGUCAUUUUUCAUGUUUUUUUGUGAAGUUCAGGGAAGUUUGUUAUUUCAGGUUUCGUUGGUGAAGUUCCCGUUUUUCUUGCAAAGCCUCAAACUUACAUGAAUUUGAGAGGUGAAUCUGUAAAUGACUGAUAUACUUUCUUUUAACAUCUGACGGAAUUAUGUUAUUGUAGGUACUUUUAUUUGCAAAGGUUAUUCAUUUAUCUAGCCUUGCUAUUUAUGUUUAUUACUUCCACUGGGAUUUCAGUGAAUAUACUGAAAUGGUAUUUGUUCUGUGCAUUUCAUUCCUUCUAGCACACUUCCAAACCCAUUCGCAAUUCCUUCUUGAAUUUAACUGCUUCACUUUUGUAUAGCUUUAUAGUAUUUAUAUAUUUAUUCUUUUAUGUAGUUUCAUGAUGAUAUGACCUUACCGUGUGGGGUACUUUGUCUUUACCCAAAUGGAGGUCAUGUAGACCACAAUGGGUAUGAUCAAUUGUUUUUUGCUUUCGUGAUUGAGCAAUGAUGAAAAGUGUCUUGACAAAAAUGUUAGAACCUGCCUAGACACUGGUGUUUACGUUGGUUAUAAUUAAGUAGAAGAAUCGUUGGUGAACUAAUUGUAUAGGAGCUGCAUAUUAGUAUGGCUCUUUUGUUAUUACUAGACCAUCACUACUUCUACCCUGAAGAAUAAAGACCAUGAUUAUGCGGUGUAACUAGAAUUAUUAUUGUCAAGCUUCCCUUUUUCAGGCUUAUCAACCAAUUAAGCACUCGUAUAAUUUCUGAAAAUGUAUUAAUUUUCAUCUCCCUCUUGAUUUCAAUUUUUCGUUUUUCUGCUUUCAAACUUAAGGAGAAUAUGUGGAAGACCGGUACAUAUCACUGGAUUUUGUUUUGUUAUUCAGGCUGAAGAGUGUGAUCUAUCACUUUCGAGGGAACAGAGAAUUUCCUCAGCUAAGAAUCGGUGAGUUUGAAUUUCCAAAUUUCAUGAGUUUGAAUGAUCUCUUCCCAGUACUUGAAAGCAUGUUGAAUUUCUUGCCUGGUAUUGGGAGGCGCAUUCUGGUCAAAUGGAUCCAAAAGCAUUCUUGCUGCAAAAAUUUAAUGCAACUGCCCAAAGACGAGUGAUUAUAUGGUGGUUGUGUAUUUGUCUCAGAUAACAUUUCGUUUCUGUUUUUUUUGGGAACUCUCAGAUAACAUUUCUUACGUUCAAGACAUCCAUAUUCUUAGUUUGUUAUAGAUCUUCCAGAGAGAGCAACGUUUCAAUUAGACCGAAUAAAAAAAUAAAAAAUACUGUCGUGGAAUUUGAAAACUACAGAAGAGCUUAAACCCUAAACCCUAAACCACAGAAGAGCCUUAUCUGAGAUGAAGAGUAAGGUCCGGUUCUGGUGGCACCCUGCAGAUCUUCCAACCAUAAUGUGGCUGCUUUGCGUCAAAUUUGAUGGGUCAAAGCUUGGCAUGUCUUUAAUGUCAUCAGGCGGUAAGCUGGAAAAGUUUAUCCUUAAGUAGUUCAUUUUCAAGAACUUGUAGAUCUUCCAACCAUGAUGUGGCUGCAGCCUUAUCUUCCACCUUUUUAAGCUCCUCUUCCGCCUUUUCCAAUUCCUUUUCAAGGGCUUUCUCACUCUCUUCAGUUAAGGAUACAAGUUUCAGAGAUGCUAGAUACUCUGGAUUGUCUUCGAAACCUUGAUGUUUUAUAUAUUUCACCAAAUCAUCUUUCUUCUGCAUGUUGUCCUUUGAUAGAAUGAUGUUUCCCUGACGGUAUCUCUUAACAAAAUCAAGCUCCGUUCUCGCUUUCAAAGCCUUUUCGGCGUGCUUCUCUUGAAGAUUUGUCUGCAUGCAUGAUAGAAAAUCAGUUAACAGAUAGCAAAACAUCAAUUCUCACCAAUCUGGUCUCAUAUCAUUCAAUUCCAAAAAUGAACUCACCAAUCUGUUCUUGUAUUUUUCAAUUCCAUAUUUAUAAAAUUCCUGAAGAACUGCAGUCACGAUAUAAAAUUAAAAUCAGGUUAUAUACGUUUUUACAGCAAAUACAAAAUAAUAAUAGUAAUAAUAAUGUUAUGUCAUACUCUGUUUUGGAGUGCUAUAGAGCUUAAGCCAGCCGUCUUCGUCAAACAAGACCAUGUUCGAAGUCUUUAUUUUCUUUCCAAGUUUGAACUUUUUUUCCAAACCCUCUUGCUCGGCUUCCCUAAGUUGUUUACCAGACAGCUUGACACGGAUGUCUAUUGGACUCGUAUCAUCUCCGUAUUUUUUGUACCCCUGGAGCAUGUAUUACUGUUUUAUUAGAAAUUGAAAAUAAUCAUAAAAUGACAAACCAAAAUUUGAUGUUAACUUUUGUACAGGAAAAUUUUACCUUAAUGAAAGGAUCUUUGGCCUCUGCGUCUGCGUUGUGUUCGGCCACUGAAUUAAGAAAUUUCAAAUACUUGUCCGUCCACUUAUGGAUUGGCAACUCUGUAAUCUUUAACAUUCCGUUGCUUUCUUGUAUGCACCCGUAAGAGGUGUAGUCGCGGUCACCCGAUUGGCUACCCUCAAUCCUUCCACGAAAACCUUUAUACCACGGGCACAUUUCCACCGGCAGUUUUUCCAUGUUCCUUUCGUAGGCAAUUAAAUGCAUCAUGUUCUUGAUGAUGUGUAUUGGGUGGUAAUUGGGGACAUUGGUACUCCACCCAACUCCAAUUCCUUCACAACCAUUCACAAGGACCAUGGGUAUUAUUGGAAAAUACCUACAUGGCAAACAAAAAAAUCAUCCCAAAGAAAACAAUUUCAAUAAUUUACCACCAAAACUUUUAAAGAAGGAAAGAAGAGUAAUGUUAGUAAAAAUAUUGAAACAACCUACGUACCUUCCAAUUUUAACUUCUUCUUUGCCUCGUUCAUCUGAGCUUUCAUCAUCAAGGAAAAUCAAUCUUGUAAUACGAGAAAGCUCAAUAUGUAGAUAACGAGGUGCUGAUUGGUCUUCACCCCCCUAAAAGUAGAAAGGAAAAAGGAACAUAUGUGUGUAAAACAAAAGAUUGUCAUGGAAUUUAAGAGUUACAUUACGCAUGAUGAACGUCAUUCAAGCUUGUUCAAUAAGUGACAUUUUUACCUGGCCUCGUGUUCCAUAAUUGCCAUGGGGAAUAAAGAGAUUGACAUUGUUGCUUCCCACAUAAUUUCGAGUCAUUCCCAUAAUUAUGCUGGCGACAUUACUUGAACUAUGGUGAUCGACAAACUUAGAAAACGUUUCCAAUUUUGUUAUUCCAAUUAACUUAUUCUUCAAAGCGCAGAACAAAAUUUUCCUUUGACCAGGUUUCAAUCCAUCAGCUAUUGAUGGAAUUGUCCUUUUCAAAGCAGCAAUGCAAUACUUAAUAUACUUCUUGUUAAAAAAGUCAGUAUAGUUUUUAUGCGUCUCCUCAUCCUCAUCGUCGUGAUUUUCCUCAUCCUCAUCCUCAUCAUUAACUUGGUUACUGCACUGCUCCUCCAGCUCCAGACAAAUAUAGUUGUUAAGCCACUCUUUCCUAUCGUCAACUCUUUUCUUAUUAAAGACAAGAUCAAUCGCCUCAUCAGCUCCAUCAUCCCAGAUAAAGUAUUUCCUAUGCUUCUCAAGAUUUCGAAAAAAGUCUUUCCCUUCUUCCUCUGGGGAGAAUGUUCCCAAACCCUAAAGGACAUGAUACAAGAACAAACUAUUUAGGACUAUGCAUCGCACAAUCCCUAGAAUAAAUUGAAGACACAAAUUAAUUCGUACCUUGUAGCGCUUAGUGGACCAGUCACGAGCGGUGUUGUCCUGUGUCUUCUUCCACUCCUCAUGCCGUUUGGUAGAAUAAAAAUAUUUUUGAUCAUGUUCCUUAGUCACCUGUACAAAUUCUAAUACAAGUUAUAGAUGCCCUUGACAACCUUCCAUUGAUCGAUCAAAUUUAUUAGGCAAACAAGUUAAAUUAUGUAAACUAACCUUGAUACAAGGAGUUAUAAACUCGGCCAAAAACCCCUCAAUUUUAAGAAGUGAGGGGCAAAAGCAAUGGAAAAGGUUAAUCAAAAGUCCUUUGAUGUGGAAACCAUCAUCAUCCUACACAAGUACAUACAUUAAGCUUCCUCUUAGCAGUCAUCAAGAUAAACCAUACGUAUUGAAAAUUUGAAGUUGUCGUAUACAAUAUAAACGGUAAGCAGAAACAAUCAAACAACAAUAACAAAACCUUAUCGCACUAAUAAGUGGGUACAAUAUAAACGGUAAGCAAUAAUAAAAAAAAACUAUGAAAAUUAAGGCAUCUAACCUGGUCUGUCAUAAUCAUCACUUUGCCAUAGCGUAAUGGAUAAGUGUAAUUCUCACCCUCAGAGAUUUUAUACUUCUGUAUCCCCAUACUUUUGAUGAUGUUGUCAGUUAUCUUACUGUCUUUGCUAUUUUCUCUUACAUUGAGCAAUUUACCUUGCAACCUAAACACACCAAAAGUGUCCCGACCCAGAAUACCGAGCCCUGUCGUCUGUUUUUGAAUUUGGCUCGUCCAAGUUAGUAUACCAUACAACGGGAACCAAAUAAAAUAAACUAUCUUGUUGACUGUACAAAAAUUUACAAAAUAGAUGACUUACUGCAAGUGACUCAGCUGAAUUUCCUUCUACGAUAAUCAAGGUGCAAUCUUUAGAGUGUUCCCCCCCCGGCAAGAUAUGCAUCCUUCAAGUUUUCUACCUUAAUAUUUUCUUCUUCUUCAUACAUGCCAAAACGGCUCUUCAAAAUUUUGACAAUCGGCGAGUCUGCCACUAAAAAAUAAUAUGAAUGUGAGAAUCAAGGUUAGAGUAUUCCAAUUUACUGUACUAGUUGAACUUGAAUCAUUCAUUGCAUUACUUGUAUGUAUAUAUAUACCUUCCUUUAAGAAAUCUUCUGAAAGUUCAAAUGUUUUUGUAAAUGCUCUUGUAUGGCGCGGGUGAUCAAAAGUAUCUUUUGCUGGGAGAUUAAACACAGGAUUGCGAAAUUUAACGUUCAAAAAAAUCCAUAAAUGAUUCUUCACAACAUCUGAAUCUUGGUUUGGAUUCUCUUCCUCAUCUGAAUUUAGGUUUUGAUUCUCAUUCUCAUUCUUAUUCUCAUUCUCAUCUGAAUUUAGGGUUGAAUUCUCGUCCUUUUCUUUGAUAGUUUCGAAAAGACGUUUUGCGAUCGCAUUGCUAAUGACAUCAACAUUAUCUCCACCGUGGCUUGUAUUGACUAAAUUGACAAAACUGACCUGUAGUGAAAUAAAAUCCGACAACAUGAGACUCACAAUUCAAAUGCACAAAACAGUCGCAUAUAUUAGGGCUCUCAUAUGUAAUAAACCUGUUGGAAUUGUCCGUUGCUCAGAGUCACACAGAUCUCCAUGUCAUCACUAAUUUUCAUGUUUAUUCUGGCAAAUUGAGUAGAUUGAGUUAAAAAAACUUUCUAAAUAAUUAUAAGAAAAAAGAAGAAGAUAAAUUUAGAACCAAAAGUUUCAAAUAAACAAUAACCUUGGAAUGUUGACAAAAUGAAAAGCUGUAGGUUUAAAGUAUAGAUCAACAUAUGUAGAGAAUGAUAUUGUGCCGACAUCCCUUCCAUUUAGCUUAACCUCCACCGUUUCUCCGAGGCAUCCAGCUAUGUCAAUCACUCGUUUCUUUAUCAAACCAACAAUGUCACCGUUAAGGCUUGUCAUGUUAUAUGUUGCCAAAUCUGGUUUCAAUAGUAUUCUCACCCACAGUUCCUUUGAUUUGUGAUCGCUGGAGUCAGUUUGCGGGUUCUUAUUGUCUCUAGAGAAUACCUGAAAUUUGUAACAAUCAAAUUAUUGAACGCGUGUGCUCAAUCGAUGGCCGCCACAAUUACAACACAUUUAACAUAUCAAACUUUUUACCUUCUUAUGCAAUUUAUUUCCGUCAGCCUUUGACACUAUGAUUUCUGUGCAAUAAGGAACAAACUUCUUUGACAAUUCGAGCUCUUUGCAUAAAUUACUAAACUUCUCGUGGCUCUUAUUGGCAAAGCAAAUAGUUAUGGCAUCAUCAACCUUCCCUAUAUCAACUUCCAGUUUGUUUUUAAUCCUCAACGCGACAUCCGUCAACAUGUCGUUUAACAUCCAGUAGAGGCCAAGGGCGUACCUUACUGGACGUUCAACCAUCUCCUCAUUAUCGUACACCCAUAAAGUUUGGGUCUUCCAGUCUCCAAACCCAUAGUCUCUCUCGUUUGUUGUUCUUGACAUUCCUCUUGUUCGUUUUUAUACUAAGAUAUCGUCUUCUUUCUUGAACAAAUGAAGCAACAAAAUCGAAAAAGGUUUGAAAUUUCCAAAGUUUUUUGCUGUGUGAUAUUUGAGAGAAUCAAACGUACGUAGAUGUGCUUGGGCUGGUGUGUUUGUUAGGUAGAUGUACUCCCAUAUUUAUAUGCAAACACUUACCCAAGAAGAAGUAAUAGAUUUCCUGAUUUCUUUGAAUACACUCUCAAGUACUUCCCUUUUUUUUUUUAUGGGAAAGUCACGACAUUAAUUGUUUGAUCAAAAGGUCAAAAGAGUUCAAGUCUUUCCUGUUUCAAACUGCUAAAAUCUUACCAAUUUUGUACUUACAUGUUUUAUUUCCUUUUCAAUAUUAAAUCCUAUUAGGUAUCUCAGAAAGUAAUUACUAGCCUCACAUCGAUCUAGAUUCAAGUCUUUCAUGUUUUAUUCAACUAAACGAAUCAACACCACUCGACGUACCAAAGAAGAGCUAAGUUUUUAUUUUUCAUUUAAAGUAUUUGACAUCUUUUAUUGUCAAUUCAAUAAAGGGCAUAUGUAUUCAACAAAAAAUAAUUAAAUGAUAAGCACACAACCUACGUAGUCUUUCACACAUCCCUUAAUCUUGACUUUUAUAUUUUAUAAUUUAUUCAAUUUGGUUGUUAAAAAUAAAAAGUAACGUGCCAGAAGAUAAAAAUGGUUCGAAAAUAAUUUUACAAACAAAUAAAGGGCAUAGACCUUUUAUCACCAAAAAAAAAAAAAAUUGUGGGCGGGAAGAGUAACAGUCGGAGUAUAAACAGACACUCCGAAGAGAACGAGUGCGCUUGGGCCUUCAUCAACCGUGACUUUAGCAGUCUCGACGACUGUCUCACGAAAUUCACCACCGCCGGUACGCCAGCCCGCCCCUUCUCUCUGACGCUCUCACCGGUUAUGCGAGGCAAGGUAUUAAUCUCAAACUUGACAAGUAUAUGCUUUGUAUUCUGCAAUACGCCUUUUGUCUUUGGCUUUGUUUCCGUUGUGUCUCCAAACAUUUUAGUAUUUUUACACUCCCUCCGUUCAGAACUUCACUCGCUGUUUACAUUUUGAAUGCAGUCUAACUGUUCGUGAAAAGUUGCGAGUGGCAGGUGGGUUGGAGACUUUCGAGUUUCCAGUUCAUUUUUUUAGAUGAAUUAUGGUGCUGAGGUGUAGUGGGAGGCACUGAGUCUGAGGGGGAAGCUGCUUAAUCGGUUAAGUCGGCUGUUGCUUUUGCACUGCUGCUCCGAGGCCAUGGCUAUUUGUAGGUUUGGGCAAUCCCGGCGAUAAGUACCAAGGAACUAGGCACAAUGUACUAUUCCAGAUUAUACUUUUAGUGGCUACAAUUUGAGAUUUUUAGUUUUAGUUUUUGUGUUUGUUGUUUCGAUAACAAGUUUCAGAUUCUCGUUUUUUUUUGUUUGAAGCAGGCGGGGUUUUAGAUGAUUGAUGCGUUUGCUGGUUCGCAGGGCAUUGCAAUGAACACGGUCCAAUGCAAAGCUAUACUUGGGCAAGGCAUGUAAAUCUUUGCGUAUGUUACUUUGUUUAUUGUCAUUUUUCAUGUUUGUUUGUGAAGUUCAGGGAAGUUUGUUAUUUCAGGUUUCGUGGGUGAAGUUCUGGUUUUUCUUGCAAAGCCUCAAACUUAAAUGAAUUUGAGAGAUGAAUCUGCAAGUGACUGAUGUACUUAAUUAUGUUCUUGUACUUCUAUUUGGAAAGGUUAUUCAUUUAUCUAGCCUUGCUAUUUAUGUUUAUUACUUCCACUGGGAUUUCAAUGAAUAUACUGAGAUGGUAUUUGUUCUGUGCAUUUCAUUCUUUCUAGCACACUUCCAAAGCCAUUUGCAAUUCAUUAACUGCUUCACUUUUGUAUGUUAGAGGCUUGGAGCUAUUAAUGCUACUGGUUAUGUAACUAAUGUGACUAGAAGAUAUAUCAGUGCAUGGUUUAACUUGUACCUCUCUUUUGUUAAACUACAGACAGGACCCCUUGCUGCUUAUUAUAAGCUAUCUCUCAAUCGUGUGCUUGUGGUACUUUCUUCUUCUGGCUUUAAGUUUUUUUUGUACGCAGAUAAGGCUUCGGAAUUGAGAAGCGAGCUUGACUUUGUUAAAAGAUAUCGUGAUGGAAACAUCAUUCUAUCAGAUGACAACAUGCAAAAGAAAGAUGAUUUGUUGAAAUAUCUAAAAGGUCAAGGUUUCAAAGACAAUACGGAGUAUCUAGCAUCCCUGAAACUUGUAUCCUUAACGAUAGAGAGUGAGAAAGCCCUUCAAACAGAUUUGGAAAGGGUCAAAGAGGAGUUUACAAAGGUGGUAAAAAAACCUGCAGCAACAGUAUGGUUGGAAGAUCUAGAAGUUCUUGAAAAUGAACUACUUAAGGAUAAAUAUUUUCAGCUUACCGCCUGAUGACAAUAAAGACGUGCCAACCCUUGACCCAUCAAAUUUAACACUUAGCGGCAUUGACAGGGUUUAAGCUCUUGUGUGGUUUUCGAAAGCUUAGAUCAACAAGGCAAAGAAGUUAAACCUGGAAGGUACGUAGUUUGUUUGAAUAUUUUUACUAACAUUACUCUUCUUUCCUUCUUUAAAAGUUUAGGUGGUAAAUUAUUGAAUUGUUUUCUUUGGGAUGAUUUUUUUGUUUGCCAUGUAGGUGUUCUCCAGUAAUACCCAUGGUCCUUGUUAAUGUUUGUGAAGGAAUUGGAGUUGGGUGGUAUACCAUUGUCCCCAAUUACCCCCCGAUACACAUCAUCAAGAACAUAAUACAUUUAAUUGAUUCCAAAGGGAAUGUAGACAAAUUGCCAGUGGAAAUGCGCCCGUGGUAUAAAGGUUUUCAUGGAAGGAUAGAGGGUAGCCAGUCCAGCGAUGGCGACUACACCUCUUACGGGUGCAUACAAGAAAGCAACGGGAUGUUAAAGAUUACGGAGUUACCAAUCCGUAAGUGGACAGACAAGUAUUUGAAAUUUCUUAAUUCAGUCGCCGAACACAAUGCAGACGCCAAAGAUCCUUUCAUUAAGGUAAAAUUUUCCAGUAUAAAAAGUUAACAUCAAAUUUGGUUUGUAAUUUGUAGUUAUUUUCAGUUUCGAAUAAAACAGUAAUACAUGCUCCAGGGUUACAAAAAAUACGGAGAUGAUACGAGUCCAAUAGACAUCCGUGUCAAGCUGUCGGGUAAACAACUUAGGGAAGCCAAGCAAGAGGGUUUGAAAAAAAAGUUCAAACUUGAAAAGAAACUAAAGACUUCAAACAUGGUCUUGUUUCAAAAAGACGACUGCCUGAAGCUCUAUCGUACCCCACAACAGAGUAUGAUUUAACAUCACUAUUAUUAUUAUUUUGUGCUUCUUGUAAAAAUAUAUAACCUGUCUUUGGCUUUGUUUCCGUUGUGUCUCCAAACAUUUUAGUAUUUUUACACUCCCUCCGUUCAGAACUUCACUCGCUGUUUACAUUUUGAAUGCAGUCUAACUGUUCGUGAAAAGUUGCGAGUGGCAGGUGGGUUGGAGACUUUCGAGUUUCCAGUUCAUUUUUUUAGAUGAAUUAUGUUGCUGAGGUGUAGUGGGAGGCACUGAGUCUGAGGGGGAAGGUGCUUAAUCGGUUAAGUCGGCUGUUGCUUUUGCACUGCUGCUCCAAGGCCAUGGCUAUUUGUAGGUUUGGGCAAUCCCGGCGAUAAGUACGAAGGAACUAGGCAGGCACAAUGUACUAUUCUACAGAUUAUACAUUUAGUGGCCACAAUUUGAGAUUUUUAGUCUUCGUGUUUGUUGUUUCGAUAACAAGUUUCAGAUUCUCGUUUUUUGUUUGAAGCAGGCGGGGUUUUAGAUGAUUGAUGCUUUUGCUGGUGCAUUGCAAUGAACACGGUCCAAUGCAAAGCUAUACUUGGGCAAGGCAUGUAAAUCUUCGCGGAUGUUGCUUUGUUUAUUGUCAUUUUUCAUGUUUGUUUGUGAAGUUCAGGGAAGUUUGUUAUUUCAGGUUUCGUUGGUGAAGUUCCCGUUUUUCUUGCAAAGCCUCAAACUUACAUGAAUUUGAGAGGUGAAUCUGUAAAUGAUUGAUAUACUUUCUUUUAACAUCUGACGGAAUUAUGUUAUUGUAGGUACUUCUAUUUGCAAAGGUUAUUCAUUUAUCUAGCCUUGCUAUUUAUGUUUAUUACUUCCACUGGGAUUUCAAUGAAUAUACUGAAAUGGUAUUUGUUCUGUGCAUUUCAUUCCUUCUAGCACACUUCCAAACCCAUUCGCAAUUCCUUCUUGAAUUUAACUGCUUCACUUUUGUAUGUUAGAGCCUUAGAGCUAUUAAUGCUACAGGUUAUGUAACUAAUGUGACCAGAAGAGAUAUCAGUGCAUGGUUUAACUUAUACCUCUCUUUUGUUAAACUACAGACAGGACCCCUUGCUGCUUAUUUAAGCUAUCUCUCAAUCUUGUGCUUGUGGUACUUUCUUCUUCUGGCUUUAAGUUUUUUUGUACGUAGAGCAUCACUUAUUCUUUUAUGUAGUUUCAUGAUGAUAUGACCUUACCGUGUGGCGUACUUGGUCUUUACCCUAUGGAGGUCAUGUAUACCACAAUGGGUAUGAUCAAUUUUUUUUACUUUCGAGUUUUAAGCAGUUAUGCAUCUAUGUGAUUAAGCAAUGAUGAAAAGUGUCUUGCCAAAAAUGUUCGAACCUGCUUAGACACUGGUGUUUACAUUGGUUAUAAUUAAGUAGAAGAAUCGUUGGUGAACUAAUUAUAUAGGAGCUGCAUAGUAGGAUGGCUCUUUUGUUAUUACUAGACCAUCACUACUUCUACCCUGAAGAAUAAAGACCAUGAUUAUGCGGUGUUACCAGAAUUAUUAUGGUCAAGCUUCCCUUUUUCAGGCUUAUCAACUAAUUAAGCACUUGUAUAAUUACUGAAAAUGUAUUAAUUUUCAUCUCCAUCUUGCAUGGCAUUUCAAUUUUGCGUUUUUCUGCUUUCAAACUUAAGGAGAAUAUGUGGAAGACCGGUACAUAUCACUGGAUUUUGUUUUGUUAUUCAGGCUUCAGGCUGAAGAGUGUGAUCUAUCACUUUCGAGGGAACGGAGAAUUUCCUCGGCCAGUUUGAAUUUCCAAAUUUCAUGAGUUUGAAUGAUCUCUUCCCAGUACUUGAAAGCAUGUUGAAUAUCUUGCCAGGUAUCGGGACGCCUCUUGGUCAAAUGGAUCCAAAAGCAUUCUUGCUGCAAAAAUUUAAUGCAACAGCUCAAAGACGAGUGAUUAUAUGGUGGUGGUGUUUUUGUCUCAAAUAACAUUUCUUACGUUCAAGACACCCAUAUUCUUAGUUUGUUUCUCCGACUGUAUAACAACAAUCACCAGAUGGCUUAAAAUUUAUAAAAAGUAUAUUUUGAAUGAUUCUACCACCGUUUGCUUGUUAUUUACCGAUUCAAUUGUGGAUAAGACGUUAAUUAAGGAGGUGGUACUAGUAUUGAUGGUGCGCCUCUUUGACUAGAUUGAUUCUGCUCUGAGUUGAAGCAUCUCGCACUUUCUAAAGGUUUCUCAGAAGUGCGAGAUGCUUCAACUCGGAGCAGAAAUCCAAGCACUUGAGAUUAGAAACAUUGCCAACAUGAAUUUAUACAGUAGUGUUUGUAAAUGAGUAAAUGGUUUGCUUUCGGGAUAACUCUUGGGUUGUGAUUGCAUCCAAGUAUUAUCCUUUGUUUUGAGAUGAUUUUUUUGUACUAUAAAUGUGACCCAUCAGCUUUAAAUUUCAUCCGUGAAGGUAGAGAAACUUGAUCUCAGAUCCAUCAUUUCUCAAAGUUUUGCUGGGGAGUGGGAAGCAGCAAGUCUCAGCGUCUCUGUCUCAUGAUUGGGGGUUGGGAUCAGGUGUGUAUGCGGUGCAUGAUUUAAUCGUGAACAGAGAAAAAUCCAGAUCGUUGAUUAUGCGAAGACUUGAGAGUGGCACUGGGUGGUUAUAAUUUUUAUUUAAAAUUUUCUUCUGAAAAAAUAAUAUAGAAAAUAAAAGAAAAAGGUUGCUGAGUGCUCUCCGGGUCCCACCUUGAACCAUCCUCGCUGUCCUUUGCUGCUUCACUUCAUGAUGCGAACUCCCACACUCCCACGCGCAUUCAACUAAGGUUAGUCUAAAACUCUCCCACGCGCAUUCAACUAAGGUUAGUCUAAAACUCUCCCACGCGCAUUCAACUAAGGUUAGUGUGAAAUUAUAAACAAGAAAGCAAAAGGUUGUAUGUUAGUAAGUAAUUAAGAUGAUUAACUCAUGCAUUCGAGGUAUUCUGUUUAAAAAGUGAAUAAAUUGAUUGAAAUCAAUGACUGAAAGUCGUCAUAUAAGUUCACAAGUCACUAUUAUUUUUCAUAAUUCAACUAAAAAAAUUAUAAAUAUAAAAACUAUGCAAAACUAUUAGAUAUACAUUAAAUGUAAGAACUCCAAUACUGUGAAACAAUAAAAGUAAAAACAUUGUGAGUGCACUAAAUUGAGAAUAAAUUUUUAAACUAAAUUUUGUAAAUAGUUGUUAAUAAUUUAAUUAUUACUUAACUGUUGUUGAUUAACAUUCUUAUUUUCUAUUAAUGAAAUAUCAUUUGUUUAAAAAUUGAGUAAAUUGUAGCAAUGGUCCCUGAACUUUACUUAAAUUGGAGCAAUGGUCCCUCAACUAAAAAUCCAUUACCAUUGGUCCCUCAACUUAUCAAAAUGUGUAGCUAUAGUCCUUUUCAUUAAUUUCUUCAAAAUUUUGUCAAAAUAUGUUAUGUUGGAAUAACCAUUUAUUUAAGGGAGCUUUAAUGAAAAGGGUUUGAGCUAAGUUUAGUUCAACCAAAAACCAUCAUAUAUUAUUAUUUAACCAAAAGGGCUUCAUAUUUAAUCAUAAGGACACAACUAAUCUAUGUUAGACCUCACAAACAUUGAAAACACAUGGGCUGAAUUAAAAGCCCAAAACGGAAUAAUUUUUUUUCCAAUUCUUACCCCUAACGGAACCAUUCCGUCAGCCAAUUCUGGUAAAAAAACUGUACAACAUUUCAAGUGAACAAAAGAACAGAAAAAGCAAAUAUUACAGUUGCUUAAUUAAAUCCCAGCUCGCUCGCCGUCGCAGUCUCCCACCGCGCUCGAUUUGCUGCGAUUUGGCUAGAAAAUAAAUCCCCUGAAUCUUCCAGUCGAUCUCGUCUGCUUGUUCUAGGUUCGGUCAGAUCUUUGUCUCUUUGCUGCAGACUAUUAUUUAUUUAAUUAAAUCCCGCUAUUUGUUCGAUUUGAUUCUGAUUCCUUUAGAUGUUAGUUUCCUGAAAGUUUUUGAAAAUUUUAUGGUUUUUUGUUUGUUCGUUUAUGGAUGAAUUGAUGGACUGGGUAGUGGUAAUUGUUUGAUAUUUGUGAUUAGAUCGAUUUCUGUGUGAAUUGCUUGUGGGUUUUAGAUCACUUCCAUGAAACCCGUUCCCUUGAAGCAAUAGUAAUAGUUGUUGCGUUUUGAAAGUUUGUCCCUCAAUUUGUUCUAGUUAAUUGUGGAAUUUUUGGAGCAACUAUAUUUUGCCAUAUAUUAAGCAAUUGGUUGAAUUUUUUUAAUUUUGAACAGAGGGUCUCUUUGCUAAUCUAAUCUACGACCCAAUGAUGUGCAUCUUCCUUUAUUUCUAAACUAAAAGCAAAAGUUGUAUAUAUAAAUUGCAUUGGAUUUUCAACAUGUUGUUUGUUAUUUCUUUGUCAUUGUUGAUUAGCUUUCUACAUGCUUAACCUCUAUUAAGUAAACAGUUGGAUACAAGUGAUUUCAUGUUUUGUAUUAGAAUGGUCGCCAAGUAAAAAAAUGUCGAGGCAUGGAAUCUCUUGAAGCAAUGACAAAAGGGAGUGAUCAGAGGUACUUGGGCAAUACAGCUAAGCUGGAAAUUGUACAGGGGGUAGUUAGGGCAGUUGCAGACAAAGGUUCUAUUUUGAAGUUCAUACCAUACACAGUGCAAGCUGUGAAGCAAGGUUUCCAAGAUUUUUGGUGCUUCUUCAUUGCAGUCUGCUCAUGACCUCUUAAAAUGGAACAGAUAUCAAACGGAGAAAUACUUUGCCGUGUGUUUUCUUUUCUUUCAGAAAUAGUGUUGGUUAUUUUGGUCAAAUUGCAUGCUGAAGAGGAAUCCAGCUCAUAUCACAUAGAUAUCAAACAGAGAAAUACUUUGCCCUGUGCUUUCUACAUGCUUAACCUCUAUUAAGUAAACAGUUGGUCAAAUUGCAGUCUGCUCAUGAAAAUCCAGCUCAUAUUACACAAAAAAUCAAUUCAUGAAAAUCUAGAAAAUUGGAUUUUCUGUAAACAAGAUAUGUGACGUGACAAGUAAGAAACUAUUAUAACCCAAGAUCCAAUUCCUUCCUUCCAACUAAACUUAAAAUUGUGACGCAAUUCACUGAGACUCCCUGCAAACAAGAACAAUCACCCUCCCAUCCAUCCUCCCUCCUAUAUCGUUGGUUAACCAUUUCUCUCUCUCUUCUCUCUCUCUCUCUCUCUCUCUCUCUCUCUCUCUCUCUCUCUCUCUCUCUCUCUCUCUCUCUCUCUCUCUCUCUCUCUCUCGGUUUGCAAUUGUUAUUAAUUAUAUAUCCUAACACCAAAUACAUGAAAAACCAGGACUACAAGAGAAUAAAUAGUCUAGGAAAAGAAAAGGCAAUUAGCCACUCUCACCCACAAAAACAUGUCCAUGUACGUUCACAUAAAUACUCGAAGAAAAACAUUCUAAAAGUGGACUAGCUAUUUAGUAACUUGAAACUUGAUAAACGACUCAACAUGUAAUGUUAAAUGGCAUCCAAAUCAGGUAGGAAAUAAUUAGUUUUUGGUUUAAGAAAUAGUCAGUGUUUAGUUUACAAAAUAGUUAGUGUUUGGUUUAAGAAAUAGUCAGUGCUUAGUUUACAAAAUAGUGAUAGUACUAUUACUUGGUUUAAUAAAUUGUCUAUUUAGUUUACAAAAUAGUGAUAGUACUAGUGUUAGGUUUAAGAAAUAAUGUGUUUAGUUUACAAGGUUUUUAGUUUAAGAAAUAGUCAGUGUUUAGUUUACGAAAUAGUAAUAGUACUAGCGUUCAGUUUAAGAAAUAGUUAGUGUUCAAUUUAUGAAAUAGUCAGUGUUCAGUUUAAGAAGCAGUGAUAGUAUUGGUGUUCCGUUUAAGAAAUAGUUAGUGUUUAGUUUAAGAAAUAUUGUUCAGUUUAAAAAGUAGUCAAUGUUUAGUUUAAGAAAUAGUGUUCAGUUUAAGAAGCAGUCAAUGUUCAAUUUAAGAAAUAGUCUAUUUAGUUUACGAAAUAGUUAGUUUUUGGUUUAAGAAAUAGUCAGUAUUUAGUUUACGAAAUAGUCACAGUACUAGUUUACAAAAUAGUGAUAAUACUAGUGUUUGGUUUAAGAAAUAGUCAGUGCUUAGUUUACAAAAUGGUGAUAGUACUAUUACUUGGUUUAAUAAAUAAUCUAUUUAGUUUACGAAAUAGUGAUAGUACUAGUGUUAGGUUUAAGAAAUAAUGUGUUUAGUUUACAAGGUUUUUAGUUUAAGAAAUAGUCAGUGUUUAGUUUAGGAAAUAGUAAUAGUACUAGCGUUCAGUUUAAGAAAUAGUUAGUGUUCAAUUUAUGAAAUAGUCGGUGUUCAGUUUAAGAAGUAGUGAUAGUAUUAGUGUUCCGUUUAAGAAAUAGUUAGUGUUUAGUUUAAGAAAUAUUGUUCAGUUUAAAAAGUAGUCAAUGUUUAGUUUAAGAAAUAGUGUUCGGUUUAAGAAGUAGUCAAUGUUCAAUUUAAGAAAUAGUCAGUGUUUAGUUUACGAAAUAGUUAGUUUUUGGUUUAAGAAAUAGUCAGUAUUUAGUUUACGAAAUAGUCACAGUACUAGUUUACAAAAUAAUAGUAAUAAUACUAGUGUUUGGUUUAAGAAAUAGUCAGUGCUUAGUUUACAAAAUAGUGAUAGUACUAUUACUUGGUUUAAUAAAUAGUCUAUUUAGUUUACGAAAUAGUGAUGGUACUAGUGUUAGGUUUAAGAAAUAAUGUGUUUAGUUUACAAGGUUUUUAGUUUAAGAAAUAGUCAGUGUUUAGUUUACGAAAUAGUAAUAGUACUAGCGUUCAGUUUAAGAAAUAGUUAGUGUUCAAUUUAUGAAAUAGUCAGUGUUCAGUUUAAGAAGUAGUGAUAGUAUUAGUGUUCCGUUUAAGAAAUAGUUAGUGUUUAGUUUAAGAAAUAUUGUUCAGUUUAAAAAGUAGUCAAUGUUUAGUUUAAGAAAUAGUGUUCGGUUUAAGAAGUAUUCAAUGUUUUAAGAAAUAAUCUAUUUAGUUUACGAAAUAGUUAGUUUUUGGUUUAAGAAAUAGUCAGUAUUUAGUUUACGAAAUAGUCACAGUACUAGUUUACAAAAUAGUGAUAAUACUAGUGUUUGGUUUAAUAAAUCAUUUGAUCUAAACUAAACUAGGGCUUGUAUAGUUUAGUUGCUCAUAGGCUCAAAAAUAAUUUGAUGUAAUUUCAAGAAAACUUUCCACAUAUUUUGAACUCGCCAUCUAACUUUAUUGGCGACGACCAUGCAUGAUGUAUAAGUCGGUAAUAGGUCAUUUCUGCAUGGUUAACAUGCGCUCGAACAAGAAAGCAGUACCAAUUCGGGUGCUCAAGCUUAAUUUGUACACUUAAUUCAACACCCCUGAAGGGAAGAAACUUGUUUGUAGAAAACAUAUCUACUUGUUACAUAAUCAUAUGUUGUAUAUCCUACUAAACUUAGGAACCCCAAGGAGCUGAGAAUGGCCACAAACACAAGGUUAAAGGCUUGUCUGUAUAGCUUCAUUUUUCCUGAAGGUCCAACGUACCCCACAAGAGUUGUUCAUCAUGCCGCAUGAGAUGCAUUAGAUUUGCUUUUUCCCGUUGGCUGAUACCCUCGGCAUCUUAUAAGCCUGUUAAUUGGUAUAUCCAUCAUGGUCAUUCCCCCUUCCUAUUCGAGCAUGUGAUUCUCCUCCACUGCAACAUGCAUUGUCAGAUCAAAUUCCAUCAAAGUGCCAAUCAAGAUACACGAAUUCACACAGAUUUCAGCACCAACUUUUUCAUCAUUUUCUCAUCAACCAAACAGAAAAAUAAAAAAAAAUAAAAAUAUUCGAUUUGGUGUAGUUUCCUAGUGCUAAAGCGUUAAAGCACUCACCGCUGGAGGACCAUACAACGAUGAAUGGAAGAGAUGGAAAAUAUACAGAACCAAAGUCUCCAAAGUAUAUGUCGAAAACAAACCAUGAUAGGCACCAAGAACAUCUUUUCAAACGCAGUAGCAUACUAAUUAAAGCAAGGUGCUAUUAUGAGAGCCCAUCAUGGAUAUGUUUAGGGAAGCUAAAUAACGAGGGACAUACAUCCAAAAAAUCACAAACCACUCAGAUCACCAAAAACAUAUCAUAAGAUUAAAGUAAAACUAUAUGAAAAGAACAGAAGCAGGUGGAGUCACCACUCAACAGAGUACGACUAAUUACAUACCAUUCAAGGUUAUCGGUUAUAACUUAUAAGGCAUAAGUCAGCAUAUACUUUUAAUAGAAGACUUGAAAUACCAGUUUCAUUAGACAACUCAGAGCUUCCCAAAAAGAAUCCGAUUAUACGAAUGAAAUCUGGUAAAUCAUUUAAUUCAUUUGUGAGAAAUUGAACUUCAUUUUCAAUUUAGCUCUGUGUGAAUGACUGCACAUGAAAGCAUAGUGUACAUAGCCCUCCAAACUAUGUGAAGGAAAUAUCGACCCCAAUAUUUUGUACAAGGCACUUUACAAGCUUGACCUGCCACAACAAAAACAAAUAGUCUUACAGAGGAAAAUCAAAAGUUUGUUAACUAGAAUCAAAAUAAUGACUAAUGACAUAGACAAGCACGUAAUAAUUUAAUUAAAGGGAAAUGCAAGUUACACAACAUCAACUCAGCACAAAAACUUUACUAGACAUAGAUGGCAGCGUCAACACUAAGUUGUAACUUAUACCUAUCAUCAAUCUAAUAAAGUUAAGAGGUAAAAGCUAAAAACCUUAGCCCGAAUCAACUAGACAUCUUUCACCAUAAACUCAGCAGCCAUAUUUUGAUAUUCCCUUUCAAGGACAGUGCAAAUGUCAUUGGCCAGCGCCUCCUCAACAUUCACAACACCGAAAGCAAUCAAAUCAAUAUCUCCAUCAGGAAGAUAGGUCUUUAGAGGUACAGCUAAAUCGUGGCAAGGUAAUUAAAUGAAUACUGUCAUUUAUCAUUUUCGCUAAUGCGAAAGGUCAAUAGAAAUAGAUAAAUAGCAGCAAGGAAAGUUUCAGCUCCAGACAACAAAUUAACCUAAACAAACAGUUUAUAUGCAGAAUUCAAGCUUACCCAAAUAAAUGUUCAUGCCCAAUUCACAAACUAUACAUACAAAUAUAUCAUACAUUGGUUGUUUUGUAGCUCAAUAAGCACAACAAUUUGAAUAAAAAAGUCAGACAAAGAUUUAUACCUCUUUUUUCUGAGAUUUGUGCUUGGAUCCAUGUCAAUAUUAGAUGCAUGCACAUAAAUAUCGAAGUCUAGAAUAAUAUGAAACAAAGAAAAGAGAUGAUACAUAGUAACAACUCCAAACUGACACAAUCGAGACGGUGAAUUUCCGAUCGGAGCUGUAGUCAUUCGUCAGAAGAUCUGCAACAGAAGCCAAAAUGCAAGGUUUUAGAUGCUAAUUACGCGCAAUCGAGAGACGAAAAAACAGUAGAAAUAUCGCAGAGAGACGAGAGAGAGAGAGAGAGAGAGAGAGAGAGAGAGAGAGAGAGAGAGAGAGUGAAAAUGAUUGCUUAACCUUGCUUUUUUGCCGAUGGUUAAAAGUCCAGGUCCCUUGCUCAUCUUUAUUGGGAAAUUUUGGGAGAGAGAAUCGGUGAUCUUCUGCGAUUUUGACAGAGAUGAAGACGACUCAAAAUUAAGUUUGGGGCCGGAUAUGUGGGUUUUGCAUACUGGCAAAGACAGAGAUGGAGCUGCGAUGCGAAAUUAGAAAGAAAAAUGAAAGGUUUUGAAUGCCAAGAAGAAAUGGGGGAGACGGACAAUAGCAGAGAGAUCCUCCAUAAAUGAAGGGAGAUAUUAGACGGACGUAGGCUUUGCCGUCAGGGACAAAAUCGGAAAUUUAAUAUUUGGGCCAUUUUAAUUGGGCUGGUUUAGUAUUGGACUUUGUCCUAACCAUUAAAUAAAGUUAGUACAUGGUUUUUGGUUAACAUUUAAAGUUUUCAAACCCUUUUCAUUAGUUUUCCUUUUAUUUAAUUAGGGUCCCUCAACUCAUCAAAGUGUGUAAUUAUGGUCAUUUUUGUCAACUACGUAAAAAAAUUUGUCAAAACGAGUUAUAUUUGAAGGACCAUAGCUACAAUUGGGAUAAAGUUAAGGGACCAUUUCUCUAGUUUGAUUAAAAUUGAGGGACCAAAGGUAAUGGAUUUUUAGUUGAGGGACCAUAACUGCACGUUUUAAUGAGUUGAAGGACCAAUGGUAAUGAAUUUUUAGUUGAAGGACCAUUGCUCCAAUUUGAGUAAAGUUUAGGGACCAUAGCUACAAUUUACUCUUAAAAAUUUGGUCUACUUAAUAUUAUUAUUUUUUAGGAAGGUGAUCAUGUGGUGAAUUCUGGUUUGGUAUUGAAAUUAUUUUAUAAAAAAAAAUGGGUAUAAAAAAGUGAAUUCAAAAAGAUAUUUGGUAAACAUAUAAAAACAACUUAUUUUCACAAUUGUGGGUAAAAAAAAACUAAUAACGUGAAACAGCAAAAAUAAACUUAUUAUCACAGCACAGCAAAAGUAAUUUUUUUCAAAGUAUAGUAAUAUCAAACCAGCCCUGAGACUCAUCGAGUCAUUCAUUCAAUUCAACAACAAAUCACUCAGCUACCCCCUCAACACGUGAGGCUGAAUUAACCAAAAGCAGCAGACAGUGAUAUUUGUGUUUGUGAGAGAGGUGGAGCCAAAGAAUAUCACUCAGCUACCCCCUCAAUUAAUAUAGCACUAAUAAUGCGAGUGGUGUUAAAGCAAUAGAGUGGUGCGUGAGAGUAUAUUUAGCUGCCUAUUAGAAUAUUAUUACAACAAAACCCAGCACUGUGUGUCACGGCUCCCCAUCUCUCAUCUCUCUCUCUCUCUCUAUCUCUCAUCCCCCAUCCUCACUACCAAACAAAUUAAAGAUGCAAAACUAAAAUCCACCUACACACAAACGCAGCAUCUUAAAACCUCACAGAAGUAAGAAAAACAAGAUCAGGUUCUCAAGAUAUCAAAUCUCCAUUUGUAUUCGCAUUCGAUCCACUCCUACUCAGAAGAAAAAAAAACACUGAAAAAGCUUUACAAUGAGGAACCCAUCGUCUUCGUCGAAAGCAGCGGCAGCAGCAAGUGCUAAGAUGCAAACGACGAUAACAGCGUCGUCCUCGUCGAGCAAGGCGGCUGGGGUUGCUGGAGGGACCAAGACGCCGUGUUGCGCAAAGGUGGGUUUGAAGAGAGGGCCUUGGACUCCCGAAGAGGACGAGCUGCUGGCAAAUUACAUCAAGAAAGAAGGAGAGGGACGGUGGCGGACCCUUCCCAAGCGGGCUGGGUUGCUCCGCUGCGGUAAGAGCUGCCGCCUCCGCUGGAUGAACUAUCUCCGCCUUCUGUCAAGCGCGGCCAGAUCGCCCCCGAUGAAGAAGAUCUCAUCCUUCGCCUCCAUCGCCUUCUGGGCAAUCGGUACAUUUACACACACACAACAUUUGUUAGAUUUCAGAGAAACUAAUUUGUCGCGAUUUUCUUCGACAAACAAUAUCCAUAUAUCCACCCAACAAAUUUAUCACCAUUUUAUUACUAGUUUGGGUUUAGGGUUUCACUGUUGAUAUCCAUUAUAUAAAAUUUAGGGUUUAAUUAAUUUGGAUGUGUGCAGGUGGUCUUUGAUAGCUGGGAGGAUUCCAGGCCGUACGGACAAUGAGAUAAAGAACUACUGGAACACACACCUGAGCAAGAAGCUGAUAAGCCAAGGCAUAGAUCCCAGAACCCACAAGCCUCUCAAUCCAGAUCAUCACUCUGCUGCUGAUGAUGCUGACGUGGACAACACAAACAAAUCAACUGCUGUUGCUUCUUCUUCCAAAGCCAAUGAUCGGUUCUCAAACCCUAACCCUAGUCCCCCUUCUGAUCGUCUUGUCCAUAAAGAAGGGGAUCCAAAUAACAGCCGUAAUGAUGGAAACAUCGCAAUUGCUGAUCAUGAUCUGGGCACUAUAGUCCAUGGCUUUGCAAAUAUGAUCACGUCCAUCAACAAUCCCGAUGCUUCUUCUUCGGCCGCGGCAACGGGUACUUUGAGUUUGAGGAGCAACAACAGCCACGGUGGAGUACUACUUGCGGGAGGAGGAAAUGAAGAGGACGACGUCUUCUCUUCGUUUCUGAAUUCGUUGAUCAAUGAGGAUCCAUUUCCUGGACAACACCAAUUGCAACAAGUACUGCAGAAUGGGAAUGUUAGUGCACACGCAGCUGCUGCUCGUUCCGAGAACCUUCCUUUGAUUAAUAUGACUAGUGCUACUACGGCGCCAUCAACAUUUGGCUGGGAGUCUGCUGUGCUCAUGUCUUCUGCUUUCAUCCAAAAUGAUCACCAGAGGGUUAAUGAUCAAACGGAGUAGCAGCUAGCCACCUGUUUGAUUGAUCAAUCUCACUGUGCAUGUUGAACAAGCAAUGCAGUUGCUUAAUUAGUUAAUUUAUAUGUAGAAAUUAGUCCUAGCUAGGGUUUGAAAUAUCAUAUGAAAUGUGAUUUUGUGUGUGCUAUCUCUAUUCUUAAUUAUUCGACUACCCCAACAUCGCUCUACGAAUGGGGGCGUAUAUCAAUGUAUUGUCGAUCACGUUUGUAAUAUCAUCUAUCUAUCUAUAUAUGUUACCGGUGUUGUAAAACAAACAUAAAUUUGAUCAAUGUUAAUUAAUUUGUAUUUAGAAGUAUAUAGAGUAAUUUAUGCGUGAAUCAAUUUCAUGUUUAUACAUCUGCCACAUUUAUCACUUUCCAUACAUAUAUAGGGUUUGUAACCCUGAUGACAAAUUGCACAAAAGAAUUUAAACACUUUGCAUGCAUAUAUCCAUACAGUGUAAGAUGCUUAAUUAAAGUUAAUCUUCAUGGAAGGAAAUUAUAUAUCUGUUCAUUCUUUCUAAAGUGUGAUAUUCACCGCAUGCACAAGUUCAUGGAGGGGGAUCGAUAUGUUAAUUCAAUGAAGAAGAAGAAGGUGCAAAAUAUCCCGAAAGUUCUUAAACAUUGAAGCUUUCACUUUACUUUCAUGGUCAAUAUUGGGACUUAAUCUAUUCUUUGAUGUUUAUAUCUCAUAUAUAUACUAAUUAGAAACAAAUGAUCUAUGACAAUCAGAUAUACAUAUAUAUGACAUGAACAUAUAAAAAUCUCCUUUUCUUAAAUCCUAAAUAAAUAUUGUACUAAUGUUUUUUGGUAUAUCCGCUUUCAUUUUGUGCACAAGCGUGGUAAAUAUUUGACAUCUUUCUGAAAUCUUAUUACAUGUAGCAUAUGAUGCAUCUGGGAGAUAAAAGACUAUAGUUCUACAACCAUAUUUUAAACAAAUUGAUCGUUGAGGGUAAGCAUGAAAAAUGAGUAAAUGAAGCUAGAUAUGAUUCCAAAAUACGUUACAAGGCAAAGAUCAUGCGUGCAUAAAAGGUUAUAAUCAUUGUAGAUAUUAAUAAGAUGUCACAUUCACAAUCUAAAUCAUCAAAAACAUUUGAGGCGAUAACAAAAACAUGAAACAUAGUAGUGUUUAUCAUUUCCUUAUACAUGACUAGCUCCAAAAACUUAAACGGAUAGGAUAGGGAAUAUUGCAACAAUGUAUCAAAGUUAUAGACACAACUACUGAUGUAAAAUGAACAAGAGAAAGAGAAAGAAAGAUUAAAAAGUUCUUAUAAAUGAAAGAUCAAUGCAUGGUAUUAGUUAGAAAUAUGUUUUGGUGCAACCUUUAGUAGUGAGCACGUAUUCGUGCAUUCUAUUAGUAGAAGGUGAAUAACCGUGUAAUUUGAACAUAAGUACUCAAACCUAUUAAUACAUAUACACCUUAGAAGACAUUAAUUUUAUUAAAGGCUUGAAUUCUAACCGUAUAUAUAACUUUAAACUCAAGCUAGUUAUACUACGAAAAAUCUGGGGUUAAUUAAGCCACUGUUACUGAUUCCUAAAACCACUGAUAGCUAUGGCCAUAGGCCAAUUGCCACAGGCCAGGCCACAUACCAAUAUGAAAAGGUACUUAGCAUAUAUAACCUUGUGAUCAAUUACUUUAUGAAUAAUUCGUCAGUUUUCUAUUCUGGUAUGCAUUUUUGUAGCCAUUUGUCUAUUUGAAACAGUGUGCAUGUAUUUUUGGGCAUUAGUGUAACAUCGUAAUCUAUCCCGUAUUCAUCUACGUGUUUGAGUGAAGUGGGUAUUGUGAAGGUAACUGAGAGAACUAAAGAUGGAAGCUAUCGGAAACAAAAAUGGCAUUCAGAAAACACAGGUUGCGAUUCUCAAAGCCUAUAACAUAGGGAGUUAAAUAUAAAGUGACAGUUAAAUUGCCAUGAGUGUGAGCGGUCGAGGGUAUAUUGAUAGGCAAAGAUGGUAUUUGUUAAAGCAACACUCAUAUAUAUUUGAGAAUUAUUCUGUGGUACUGAAAUAUCUCUAUCGUAGUAAAAAUGCUAAAUGCUAAAUGGUUUGCAGCAUGAACAUUUCCAGAACAGUGUAUUUUUGGGGUGUUCUAGAACAUUUGGUAUGCAGAUUGUGUUUAGAUAGAAUUAGUACGCAGUAUGUUAAGUCCACACACGAUAUAUGUAGGUUCUCAGCAAACCCCAAUAAUCGAGAAGCUAUAUAAUUAAGUCAUCGUGCAAUAUUAUGCAAUAUUAUGCAAUAUGCAUACAUGUCAAGGAUGAAAGUCACUUACUCGUAGCAGAACAUGAUAUAAUUCUUCAAUGUGUAGACUUGAUCAUCUAUGGAACAAGAUUUUGUUGAUUACUUUCAAUCAGUCUCCCUCCCAACAUUUCUGAUGCGAUCGUCGUGUGAGCUUCCUGCAGAACCAUGCAUGGAGAAUAAAACGAAAUCAGUGGAGUGUACGCCCUUGAUGCAUAUAUGCAUGUUAAUCAUAUCCUGACCGUUGGAUAACAUCAACAUGGUCGUUCUAAUUAUUUAAGAUAGAAGAUGGCUCACACACCUGGCUAAUGGCUUAUUGCACCCUAUCUCCCUCUAUGACAUCUCGUAUAUUUUAUCAUAGCUAGGACAAUGCUAGGAGACUAAAAUUUUAAAUUAAAUGAUGUGUCACUAAUAAAAAAUAAACACGUUAAUCAACACAAAGUCAUAAUCCAAUCAUUAACAUUCACGUCGUGUGGUUUACAAAAUUUGAUUUAGAAAUUGAGUAAUGAUAGGGAGACUAAAUUUGUAAUAAAUUUUUUUUAGACUAAGUGACAUGAAAGUUGAUAAUUUGAUUAAUACUUAAACGUUGAUAAAUAUGUUCAUUUCUUAUUGAUGAAACAUCAUUUAGUUUGUAAAAUUUGUUUACAAAUUUAACCUCCUAACAUUACUCUUAGAAAUUUGGUAUUCUUAACAUUACCAUUUUUCAUAAUAGAGCAAGGACACGACAUGUUCACCCCUCACCGCCUCAAGGCUUACGCCUCGUUUUCUGAGACCCUAUAUAACUUAACUUACAUCUUCGCUUCUAAAAGCAUAUAUUGUUUAUAGAUGUACCAUAAAUAUUACAACAAUUAAAAUCCUAACUUUUCUUUUUGUUGAUAAAAAGCCUGAAUAUUUUCACGAGCACCUCCUCUAAACAUGUGGUCUCACAAACUUCAUGUCUUUUAAUAUGAGCUAUAAAAUUAGUUGGGUUGGGUUGUGUUUGGAUGAGGGACUUACAAAGUAUCAAGGCAUUAAGGCUAAAUUAGUAAAGAACAAAACUAUGAACCAUUAUAUAAAUGCUAUGUUUGCGCAAGGGAUUUUCAAGUUAUAAGAUUAAAAGCCAAAUUAUAAAGAAAAAGAUCACAAAAUGUUGGAUAGGAAGGAUUAGCUAAUUCAUUCGUGGAAUAUAUCAUUUACAAAUCUCUCUUACAUGUCUUUGUAAUGUUCUAUGGACGGUACAUUUCCUAAUCCAUUAUAUCCAACAUUUUGUGAUCAUUCUCUUUACAAUUUGGCACUGGGUAAAGCGGGAGCCUUAUGCACUGGGUACGACCUUUUUUCUCUUUACAAUUUGGCUUUCAAUCCCAUGACUUGGAAAUCCCUUACCCAAACUUUGCCAAAGGGUAUUACAAAAGCAAUCCAUGAGAAUUACGCACACAUAUAUAUCUUCAUAAUGAUUAUGCACUACUUUUUUAAUCCUGUUUUAGUCUAUUUCUUCCUUAUUUAACCUAUAUUCCUUGGGACUAAAGUCCCUCACUCAAACACAGGGCAUUUGAUCCCUUUGUCGAGGCACAUGCAAUCAUUUUAUUUCUACUAUCCUAUAAUAAUUUUUGAAGAAUUUAACCAGGUGGAGUUGGAGCUCCAGCAAACUGGAAGGGAAGGAAACAGAAGCCUACCUGGUAUUGGGUAUGUGGCCUGAUUUUAACUGACAUUGAAUUCUAAAUGGGCCGUUUAGCCCUGACAAUAGUUGUUGGCUCCUAACUGUUGAGGACCAUUGUGGUGUGACCCUUUUUUUUUUUCUUUUUUUUUUUUUUUUUUUUUCCACCCCACCCCACCCACACCGGGCCUCGAUCCUGGGACCUAAUCUACCCCACCCCUCACCCACACCCUCACCACUAGGCUAUUCCUAGUGGCUUCCGUUGUGGGGUGACCUGUGUAUCCCAAAAUUGUUGCAUCUGACCCUCCCCUUAAGGUUCAAACUACCAGUCUUCUGCGAUUGGUAGAUGGUUGACCUGUUGCAUACCAAUUCAGUAGCUUCUACUGCAACUUGUUUGACUAUUUAAAACUUAUGUUCUCUUAAUUUCUAUUUCCUCAUGAUAUACAUAUACAUAUAUAUAUAUAU